rnacentral:lncRNA from 1 species
UUUUUUUUUUUGGAGUUCCGAUCGGGGAAGAGGGCGUGCGUGUUUUUGUUUCCUUCCGUUCGAUUCCCGUUCAGCGGCUCGAUUUCGCUGGGUGCUCCGCAUGAUUCGUGGGUUUCCGGGGGUCCUUCCUGCGAUUCUGGCCGGCCUUCUUCGUCCGCGGCCCUCGGGGGUCUCGCCUCGCCUCGCCUCGCCGCCGUGUGUUUCCCAGCUCGCAGCAGCGCGAGCGCCGGCGGUUCGAGAUGCGAAAUCCGGCCAUUUCAUCGAGUUUUCUCUGAGCCGCUCUCGAAUUUUUGCUUGUUUAUCCCCCGCCGCGUCUCGUCUCGGCGGAUUUCUGUUGCUCGCGGGUUUUGUGGUUUUGUUGCUGUUAGGGUUUUUGGCCUCCGCGAUUUUCUCCCCCAUUUGGGUGGGUCGAGUUCGUCCCCAUUGCUUUGCUUCGGGUAAUUGGGUUUGUACUUGCCUUUUCCUGCGCGGCGUUUCACUUCGAUCGAAGGCUCGCCGCCGUAGCUUUGGGUUGUUGCCUCUCGCCCACCGGGGUUGAUGGAAGGGGACGGGAACAGGAUCACGGGACGAAAUUUCUGCGAGAGCGCUCUCUCCUCGCUCCAUCGCGAGCUCUUCUGAUCACCCCCCAUGUGCCCCCGUUCCAUCCCAUGCUAUUUCUGGCUUUGCUUUUGGGGUUGGGUUUUGGGGUUUUCCGCAGGCUUGCUGAGGUUUUCGUUCCACGCGCUAAUGACGUUUCGGUGCGGUUCGAUGCGACCCACCAUCAUCCAUGCCAUUUUUGGGAUUUCUUCUUGGGGUGGGGAGGUUUCUCUUGCUCCCCCCGUAUCCGAUGGCCGCUACUAUUUCCUAGGUGGUGGAUUCCGAAGGAAUCUUCCGCGCAAAUCUUUUGCGUGGCCGGGUAGCUUCGUAUCUGGUACCUGUGUCCAUGUCGUGUCAUUCGCAUCUAGGUGAUCCGGCCUCCGGCCAUUGAUGUGCUGAUGUGACCCAUCUCACUCAACUGGCCUCCCUGUGAUUUGACCGUGGUCUGAGCAGUGAGCAGGCACUGGCUUGGGGAAAACUCUUGUCCCUUCUGCUUGUUCUUACAUGGGGCGGUCAAUGGAUUCGUCGCGUUCCGUUUUCGUGUCUGUCGAGCGGCUUGCUUGACUGGGCUGAAUUUUUGUUUCCAAUUAGUGGGUUGCGGGUUGGUUUUCAGUUCCGUGCUGUGCUUGAGUUGAGUAAUUUUGGAAGUUUUUAUUUUACCUUUUAGAAUCCUUGCUUGGGUAGUGCAGUAAGAUUCAGUGAUAGCAAUGUUGAGCAAGGACACUGAUGGGUUUGUGGGAUUCCAUUCUGGCUUGUCUUUAGUGGCAAACUUGAUUAGUUUGAUUUUUGUUUCCUGGAUUUGUCACAUUCCACUCUGGCCUGUACUUAGCCUGCUGUUUUCCGGUCCUGCUCCUGCUUUCCUUGUGUUUCCAUUGCUCCCUGCAAAUGCAGUGAAAGUUGAAGUUUCGAUCAUGAGUUGCUUGGGGGUACUGCAAUAAGAUUUUGCCCAUUCUGCUGGGACAUGUCUCAAUUGAAGCAAGUUGAUCAUUUUUUGUUGUAGCAUAAUGUGUUCAAGUGAAUUUCGUCUUUUGAAUUUGCAGAGUUCAAGUGAAGAAACCAGCGGGACGGGAACCGCCGGCAGCAUGGACCGCGUGAAGCACGAGAACUUCUGCCGCGCCGUCGUGGAGGACAACACCGCGCUCCUCCUCUCGGCGGUGGGGCGCUUCAGGAAGGAGGCCCUGUGCCGCAUCCGCAAGGGCUCCGACGCCUCGAGGGUGCUGGACCAGGAGAUGUCCACGAGGCUGCUGCACCUCGCCUGCAAGCACGACGCGGUGGAGUGCGCCAGGCUGCUCCUCGAGGGCGGCAGCGGGAUCACGGCGGCCCCCGUCGAUGCCAGGGACCAGCUCACGCGGACGCCCCUGCACGUCGCCGCUGAGACACACUCGGCCAGGUGCAUCGAGCUGCUGCUCUCCAAGAACGCCCGCACUGAUCUGAGGGUGGUUGAUGGGAGACCUCUUCUCCCGCUUGAGAUUGCGCUAAUGAGCAGGAGGUAUGUGCAUGUAUUCCAUUGCUAGUUAAUGCAUGACUUUGACUGAAUUCAGUCCCCAAGUUUCCUGCAAUAACUGUACUGUUCUGUUUCCUCAUUCACAAUGUACUGUUCUCUCAUUCAGAGUUCAAACUAACUGGUCGCUGGACAAUCCAAUUGAAGAUCUUCUGUCUUUUCUUCAAGGAAGGGUCUGUAUCCUCAUUACUACACUUGCACAUUGUAUGAAUUGUUCCAUAGCUGAUCUGUAGGACUAAAUCCAUCUUUUUACUCAAACUGCCACCUCUCUUUUUGUGUAGGAUCUCAGUGCAGUAAGGCUCCUGGCAGAGAAAACCAGAGUGGUAGGGGAGCUUGCUUACAGAUAUGCCAUGGAGGGACGUGUUCCUUCAUUGGCAAUGCUGCUUCUUGUGGUUGAAGAGAAGAUAUUGGCACAAGUGAGUGUGGUGAUAGAGGGCGUCAGAACAAAGAGAUCAAUUUACAACGCCGUUGUGGAUGAGGCUUUAUCCAUGGGAGAUGCUUCUACUCGCGAUGGAAAUGAAAGGAGAAAGGCCCUGCUAUGUGAGAUUCAGCUGCUUAACCAAUUUGGGUCAGCAUCUUGGAGGGAGCUCAGUGACAGGAGAACAUUACCCCCUCUACUCAGGGCUGCUAAGGUACUACUAUGUCAUUUAGAAAUGCUUAUAAAUAACUUGGUCAGUACUCAGUAGUAUAGCUAUUUCAAAAUUCUACUCAUAUAUUAAAAACAAGGCUUUUGUUUAUGUUGCUUUCUUUUCCAUGAUAUAUGAAAUAAGUAUUUGCCAUAAAAUGUACUAGCAUGUGACUUGUGUAUCCAAUGUGUGCAUAGUAAAUGAACUUUUAGUUACUAUGACUAGCACUUGACUUAUGUAUUCAAUGUGCGUAUUUCGAGGUCUAAGCCGACUUUCAUGAAAAAAAGUUAUUUUUCUCAAAAUAGGUUGAUUACCUUAGUCAUGCUAUGCAUCACAAGCGGAAGUUUUUUGGGGCUACAACUUUGUCUUUAAAAAAUACUUCUGCUGAUCGACCUUUCUUGUGUAGGUUGGAGAUAUGAAUGUCAUAAAGAUGCUUCUGAUGGGGAAUGUUGAUGUCAACGAAGCUGACUCUGAAGGAAACACAGCACUUCACUGGUGCCUUAGUGGUGGCUCAAGUACACAGGAGCCAAGGUGCUCAUCUCAGAAAUUGCUUUGUCCAAACCAGUCAAUUGUAAGAUAGUUGUCUUAUUAGACCUCGGUCGGUUUCUGUCACUUUGCAGGAUUGUGUGGCUCCUGCUCAAGAACGGUGCCAGAGUUUUCCAGGGGAACAAAUUAGGCCUCACGCCAGUACACAGCGCUGCAGCUAAGGGCAAUUACAAGGCUCUUCAGGUAGCCUUCUGUUACUUCCAUAGUACCUAAUUGCGCUGUUGCGAGUUGUGACUAAUUGGUUUUAUUUUUCUUUGCUUUGAAAGUCACUUCUGCUUCAUGCCCAAGAUUGUGUUGAUACACCUACCAAGACCAAAGAAACCCCAUUAUUCUUUGCAGUGAAGAAUGGUUCUGUGGACUGUGUAAAACUCCUUUUGCGUUUUGGAGCUGAUACCAAAGCCAGGAACCUACGGUAAGUAAAUCUUCAGAGUGCAUUUAAAUAAUUGAAUUACAAAGAAUAAGUUACAAAAAGGAAAAUGCACAUAAUUAUUUUUAAUUUAUGGUCUUAUGCACUUAACAUGCUGCAAUUAUUUGACUUGAACAGAAAGCAAAGACCAAUUGACGUGGCAACGUCCCAGGACAUGCGUUUCGUUCUUAGCUCUGCAAAUGUGGCACCAUGUAAGAGACUUACAGAGAUUUACUCGUUUUCUGUUCAGCUUAAUCUUUCUAUAUGUACACAUUUUCUUCUUUUAGUUCAUUUGAUUUCUUCAACCAUAGUAGUAAAUACAAGCUAGAUGGAGUUCAAAAAGAUGUAAGGAAUUUAAUAAAUUGCAUAUGCUACCUCCGUGCAUAAAUAUAUGACAUUUAGGACAAGCUAUCUGGUUCAAAAAUGAACUAUUUUGCUUGUGCUAAACAUAAUAUAUUUGAGAACAGAGGGAAUAUAUAUUAUGUUAGCUGGUAUUACUGCAUGAUUAUGGACAUUUGGAAAUUGCCACUUUAACAGAAAUGCACUCUAGUUUCAGGGAAACAUAACUCACCUCAAAAGAAUCAUGUGAUGAGAAAGGAAAUUUGCAAAGAGCUUCUGGGUGAUGAGUUUGAUGAUUUAUACAAUGAUGACUAUAGCGAAAGGUACAUCUGGUAUACGGUACAUUAUUUACUUGAACUAUAACAUCUUUGCUUCUCACCUGUUGUUGCUUGAACUUUUAUGUAGCUAUACUGGGCUAAAGACAUCAGUAGGCCAGCGUGAUUUGCGGUCCAGUAACCGUUCUACUCAAGGGCCUAAGAGUAAGAGCCAAUAUGUUCCAAAACAAGGACAAGGCUCAAAGUUUGUGCCUCGGGUAAGUAAAGCAUGUUCUCUAUCUGUCAUCUGUCAAAACCUAUUUCUUUGGUCGGUCUGCUUCUUACACUACAUUCUUUUUUAGAACAAUCAUUGGCCUAAGCAUGACUACACUCGCAAAAUUUUUGUUGGGGGCCUCCCGCCUUCAGUGGACUCUGGUAAAUUUUCAUAAAUCCUUCACUGCUUGGUGUUGAGCAAAUUUGAAUCGAUAAACACUUCUAACCUUCUUUGCUGCCCCUUUCUGACAGACUUCCUUAUUGAAUUCUUCAAUGCUGAAUUUGGGCCUGUGGAGGAAGCUGUGGUCAUUGGGAUACCAAUAGGCAAUAGAUUGCAGUCCCGAGGUUUUGGCUUUGUAAAAUUUGAAAGAGAGAAGGAUAUGAUAAGUGCAAAGGAAGCCCAUCAUGUAUACAUGCUUGGGAAGAGAGUGGAGGUAAAGGAUGCUGUUGCUAGAGCAGACUUGCCUUUAGAAGAACAAAGAGCUACUUCUUUGAGGAAAUUCAUCAAGGAGCGCCCAAAGGUAACCCAUAGUGUGCUGGAUGGUGAACUAACCGAGGAGCACAACAUUCGGAAGCGGCGACCAUUGCCAGAGAAGUGCCUUCCAUCUUGGUUCUUUAUAUUCAGGAAGUGGUUGCCAGGAUUUCUUGAGGAUGCGACCGAGCGACUUGGGGGAGAGAGGUAUCCAUUAAGCUCUUUGAAGGGUGAUUUCAGAGCAACUUGCAGGAUGGAGCUUGAUCACACUGCACUUGGUUAUCCUAAGCUAAGUGACUUUAUGCGCUCCCUCCCAGGCAUCUGCAGGAUGUGUGUAGUUCCUGUUGGAAGCGGACCUGCAACACACAUGGUCCUUUUUCCACCGCUCUCAAGACCGAAGUAUGUACCCUUGCUAGAGCCGUACUCCUUUGAUCGUGAUGAGCUUCCAGAAUCAGUGUCUGAUCAUCACUCCCCAAGAUCUCCACUUAACACCAACAUCACGGAUGACUCCCCUCAUAAAACUGACAGCCAGCAGGGUGAUGAUGCAUGCAGUGCGACUAAUGUUCAGAUCCAGCAGAGUGAUGAUGCAUGUAGUAAGAGCAAUGCUCAGAGCCAGCAGGGCGAUGGGAGCAGCAGGAGCAGUGCUGAAAGCCUGCUGGAUGGAAGUUCUUCUGAUAAUGGUAGCUUACUGGAUGAUAUUCCUGUCAGCACCACAAAGCUUGAUUUGGUUGAGCCUGUACCUGCAGGAAAGCCUGAAGUGAUUGAGCGUGUACCUGCAAGAAGGCCUGAUGUAAUUGAAUGUGUACCUACAAGAAAGCCAGAUUUGACUGACUGCAUGCCUACAAGAAUGCCUGAUUUGAUUCAGUAUGGAUCUCUUCCCAGAAACAAUGAGUCCGGACCAGUCCGGAAGCCUAAUUUGCUUGAGUUUGGACCUACAAGAAAGCUUGACUUCAUUCAGUCCAGGCCUUCAACGUGCUUCAUUGAUAGUCCAGUUGAAAGGCCAGCAGUUCCUCCGAGCAGCUGUGAGGCUGAAAUGAGAUUCUCUUUCUUCCAGUCUCAGUGGGACAAGUAUCUGGUAAGAGCUCUCUGCUUGUGAACUUACAAUGUUUAUUAUGUUGGUUAUAAGAUCAGAAUAAUGUUCUUCGAAGUACUAACAUUGUUAUUUGCAUGUUAGACUCCAUAUCCCAAGAGUGACUCCUGCAUCAUCUGCCGAUCUUGCGAAGCCACGAUGCAGCUUGUCCCGUGCCAUCAUAAGAUAUGUGUUGCCUGCAUGAUGAGGUGUAAUGUCAGGGCAUGCAUGGCUUGUGGCACUUCUGUAAGUGGAGUGAAGUCUUCCCCUGUAGUGGAUGCGCCAUACAGAUAUAUGGUAGUGGAAAUUCUCGAAACAAUUAGAAUUGCCUUUGAUUCCCUGUUUCCAGAAAUAGCUCAUAUCAUUUGCAGACUGUUUAUUUGAAAGAAAAAGGAUCUUUGUGCUUAGUGUUUUUUUCUUCACUGCACAUGAGUUGGACUGGUCUGAUCAGUUGCUGAAUAUGCAGGGAGUCAUGGAGAGCGUUCCAGAUCAAAGGUGCCAGUUGAUGGUUGUCUGCCGUGGUGCUGAGGCGAUUGUGAGAUGUUCCCCCUGUAUGCACACCAUUGCUUGCCGAGGAUGCUUCCUGGCGUCAGUGACGUUACUGAAGACCUGCACCACCUGUGGCUGCAUGAUUCAGCACUUCAUGUUUGGUUGAAAAGUCUCACCUCCCUAAUACAGUAGUAUUACUAAGCAAACUAAGGUAUAGAAUAAAGCAAGCAAUCCUACAAUCUGAAGGAGAGAUCUGAUAUGCUCUCGUUCGGUUUUGCCACACUUGUGGGAUGCGCUAACAGGCUAUUUUGGUAGUGGUAUAUGCGCCCUCGCUCUUCUGAGCCUGAGGUGCCCUCUUUUGCCCCCUUCUGUUCUUGCUUAGAUAUGCUAGUCAGACAUGCUUGAUUGGUAUGCUACUUCUGCUUCUGUGAGCUUAUGAUGGCUCUGACAUUGGCAAGCUCACAAUAAUACCAUGUAAAGCCCCAUUAUCUAUUAUGGCACUCCUUUUGUAAACCUAUGAAAUUACUAUCUCAUGGGUUGUGGUGCUUACAAUUUACAAAGCCCCCUUUUGUAUAUGUUCCUGAUGUCUGGUUUGUUUGGCUCUUGCUUCUUUUUCUUAUAGUCAAGUUCAAUCAAUGUUUUGUCGCGGGUAAUCUGUCAUAUGUUGCAUUGUCAGAAUGCGCUCAGCAAGUUCCAGUUACAAGGGAACUUCGAAUCUGUAUUGCUCAAUUUAGUUGCUCUGCGUAGCAUUAUAUUUCCUACCGAUGUAAUCCCUGUCUAUUUCCUACCAUGUGCGAGUGCCCGGUUAAUGGCCCGUGUUGUACAAACAUCGUUUUUACCUUCCUCUUAGAUGCGCAGUUCUCCUGCGUAUUCUAGAAAAAGCAUUAUAUUACAUCACUUUGUUUUCAAAAUCGUAGUUGUGUGUAUUGCUCCCUUUUAGCAAUCAAUUUUCAUGUUAAGCUACUGGUUAUGCUGUUUCAACCACUGUUGCAGCCAUGAAGUUACGUUUGUGUGGCUCUUUGAUUCAGUUCUGUCAGGCUAAUCCCAGUGGGAGUUUCAUAGAGGUUUCAUGCACAUUAAAUACGGUGACACAUCAGCAUAUGUGAUGACAUGGCAUGGUAGUUAUGAAGUGAGAGAGGGAAGGGGUUUCAUCAGGAUGAAACUGUGUAUACACUGUUUCCAAAACUAUGAAACAUAUUGAAACUUGCAUUGGGGCUAUAGAGUUUCAUUUCAUCUAACUAUAUCCAAUCACAUGCCUCACAAUUAAAUGUCAUGGGCAUCCUAUGAAAUCGUGAAAUGAAACUGUGCACUGGGACUCCCUGUUUCAUUCAUGAGAAUACACCUCAUAGGAUGAUGUGACAUCUUUAAAAACAGUGCAAUGAAACCUUGCACUGGGACUAGCCUCGGGCUCCAUUUGACACUACCAGAAUGUGGUCUGUACUCUUUGGUGGACACUGGAAACGAGCUAUCAGUAUGUUUUAUUUAUUUGUACUCUGUGUUGGAAGUUGCAAAGAUAGACCCUGUUUGACUUCAUGUUUUGAAUUAACUGUGAAAUCAGACAAGCUUUGUUUUUGUGGAUAUGCUAAGCAUAAAACGAAGUGGAAUGCUUAGGAAUUUUUUUUUCUCGGUCCUAUUUCUAUGCGGGCACACAAUUGCACGCAAUGAGCUGAAACGAAAAUAGAUGGCAGCAAACAGUAACUUCAUGACGGUGAACAGUAGCCGGUGAUAGUAAUUGAGUACCUCAUCUCCUGUUAGCCAAGGUAUUCAAAUGAAAUCAAGAACGGUGUGCAUGAGCAUUUGAGAGAGCAGCACAUGAUCACCAGCUGUCGAAGUAGCCAUCCCACCGGCGCUGAUCACGGUCCUCCUCCCAGGGAGGAAGUCCCCGCUUGAUCCUGCUAACCCUCUCGAUCAUGCCAUCGACAGCGAUGUCAAAGGCGUCCCUGAACCCGUCGCCGGGGACCCUCGGGUCCCUGUACACGAUGCUGGGGAUCAUCCUGAUCACCUGCUCCCUCAUGGCCGCCACCUCCGCCCGGCUGAACCGCCGGAGCACGUCCUCCACCCGAACCGUGCCGUUGCGCACGCCGUCCCCCGGCACGAACACCGAGUACCUGGCGUGGUCGGCCGGCAGGUGCCACCGGUACUGCGUGUACGCCGAGCCCGGGUGGAAGAACACCGGCACGCAGCCGGCGAGCAUGGCGUCGAACGCCGACCGCCGCGUGUACGAGUCCCCCGGCGGCUGCAGGCAGAACGCCGCGCUCUUGAAGUGGCGCACGACGUUGCCGGGGGCGUAGCAGUCGUGUCGCCGACCGCGGCCACACUGCAGCAGCCCGCACCGCCGCGACCGCGCGCACUGGCCGAUCACGGCGUCGCGCAGGGUGCCGCCGCCGCCCGCGCCGCCGGGCCGCCGCGCACCGGCGAACGCGAACAGCCACGGGCGCCGCGCGCGCCGGAGGGCCCGCUGACAGGAGGCCACCUCGGCGGUGCGCGACGGGUGGAAGCAGGUCGGGUACGGCACGGCGACGUCGCCGGCGUGCCACGGGCCGGACUCGAGCACGAGCGCCGUCAUGUUGGCCGCCUCCGGGAGGAGCAGCAGGCGGCUGCCCCAGUUGCCGCCGUCCUGGCGCCGGAAGUCCCACGCGAUGCGGCCGCCGACGAGGAAGUGGUCCCGCCCGCCGCGCGCCGCCCACGCCGGCGUGGAGCGGAGCCAGCCCGCGAGGUCCUCGGCGAGCGCGUCGCGCGCGCCGUUGCUGGAGCCCCACAGGUGGCGGCCGACGUCGAGCCCCGCGUAGUAGGGCACGUACACGGCGUCGGCGCGGGAGGCGUCGGCGGUCAGGCAGCCGUACUGCCGCAUCCGGCCGUGGAAGAUGACCUCGAGGGUGAACUGGUUGGUGUCGUACCAGCCGGUGGCCGGGAGCACGGCGCCGGUGCGCGUCAGCCGCGGGCCCAUGCCGGCGUUUGCGACGUGCCUGCACAUGUCCGUCCACUCCGACAGGGACCGGCAGUUGCGGAGCAGGUCGGCGUUGAACCGGCUCGGCAGCUCCUGAACAUAGAUGUACCGACCGGCGCACCGGUCGGCCGCGGCCGCCCGAUUCGCCGCUCGUCCCUGACGCCCUUGACGUGCCAGCUGAGGCGGCGGCGGUGACGUGCCAGUUAUUUCUUCAAGCUUUGGCGGCGGCGGAGGCGACGCGUCAACGAUCAGCUCAUGCUCCGGCGGCGGCAGUGGCGGUGGCGGUGGCGAAGUUUCUGCUCUUGCUCGGCGUUCCGGAGGCGGUGGCGGCAACGUGUCAAUGAUCUCUUGACGCUCCGGAAGCCGCGGCGACGCGUGUACGAUACCUUCGCGCUCGGGCACCGGCAUCGUGACGGCGGCGCGUCGCGCCGUCGCGCCGACGAUCUCCCCGACGCUGACGUGGAAACUCUCGCGGCGACCCACGUCGAGCGCGGGCGGCGUCGGAGGCGCGAAGAAGAGGAUCGUCCACACGACGCAGCACGCCGGGACGACCAGCGGCAGGAGCCACCUGGCGGCCCGCAGCACGGCCGAGGCGCGCCCGCUCCCCAUGGCGCGUCACCGAACAAGCAGCCACUCGCCGCCGGGGAAUGGACGACCGCUGACAGGUGACAGCCCCUCGUCGGUGUCGCCGAAUGCGCGGCCGGGUUCAACUUGAAUCCACGGCGCCGCUGGCUGUCGGUCGCCACCAGGGGGGCAUCGCGGGAUCGCCGUCGAUACUGGAUCGGCGACGCGGAUCCGGCCGGCUCGAUCCCUUCCCAUUCUUGAUCGCAUUCCUGCCCAAGGAAGGAUGUUUCUUUCCAUCCACAGACGCCACCAAGGAUGUUUAAUUAGGCGCGAGUGCAUGGGAGCAUGGCCGGCACAGCUAAUGAUGGAUUGGCAGCUCGUGCAUGCAGGAUUUAGCGGUGCUGAAGAUCCCCAUGCUUUUGGUUGUUUCUGAAUCUUUGUCGUCUACAACCACAACUGGCUGCACAGAUGGUGCAGUGCGGAGCGCCGGGGCCACAUGUCAGUGGCACAUAGCUAGCCACACAGCACAGGUGUGGUUACAGGUCAGUCUCACAGAACAUUCAACGCCGGCAUUCUGGAAGUCAAUCGUGCAGGCAUCAACUGCGCCAUCCCGGCGCCGUCGGCGACGGCGUGGUUCCAGGUCACUCUGAGGACGAACCCGCCGGACGAGAAAUCCGCAGACGGCGAGGUUUCCCUGUAGCGUCAUCGAGAUUGAGCGGCGGGGUGGCUGAGGAAUGAGGAUAGCAUUUUUCAAGUUCCUGACAUCAGCUCGCGCAACAAACCAGCAGGUUCAGAGCGAAAACAAGGGCACACUGCCAAGUGCUAACCAGACAUCAUCAGACGGAGCACAACAACAAAGAUAAAGAGGUUCAGAUAACCGGAACAUCGAGCAGAGUUCUAACACGAAGCAUGGGAGUAACAACAUACAGGUUGAGGUUCUAGUCACAACUCAUAAUCUCCCUAGUCUUACAAAGUUCCUUGCUACAGCCUACGCUCUGAUUCUUCACCAGUCAGGAGCCGUGAGCUCACUACAUCAGAAGAACUUCUUCUAUGAAGCAGAAUCAUUAGCCUACUAAUGUCAUGGCAUAUUUGUACAUAACCGAAACGGGCCUGAAGACUUCCUGCGUUGCUACUUGUCCGACUCAGAUCCUUGGGGAGUUAGAAGGUGGUAAGGUAGCUCACGCCCUGCCGCUCGACCUGCACAACAAGAGGCAACUGUGAGAUCGCCGUAGAAAAAACAGUUUGGCAUUUGUCAUGGGCUUGAUUCUUGGUGAGAAAUGUGGCAACUUGAAAAAGGAACAUUAAGCUAGGUAACCCCAGAAUAUCUUAAUUCACAAUGACUAUGAACCAUUAAUGGAUGAUUCUCACUAGUAUAUGCAUGUACCAUCCUGACUUUCAGAGUAUAUCAGUUUCACUUCUAUUUAUUCUCAGUAAGGUUAUAGUGGAAUUUAAACUUUUUGAUUCAUAGUUUGGCCCCACAUGAAAUCAAAUUUAAGUUAGUUAUCAGUUCUUUAUAGCAAUACGUCCAUGUUUCUCAUGCUACUAGCUCACUUGUCCCUUCAGCCACACAAUUUUUUUUCCUGUCAUACUGCUUAUCAGAUACUCCUAUAUGUAGCUCAUAUUUCAUAUAAACCAUGCAGUGCUUAUGCAGCAGGAAUUUGAACAAAUUAGCAGGAAGAAGAAGUUUUUGGGUCUCUGUAUGAUCAAAGACAAGAAAUUGCUUCAGCCAGAAGAAGUGUCAGAUGUAACUGCCAUUUAUAAGCCAAUACUCUGAUGCUACACAAAAAAAAAUAGCAAGAAUGAUGCAAUUUCACAUUAGAGAAUCAGUCUAGGGAAAUGUUGCAUUACCUGCGAAUCUUCCUGCGCUUCGUAACCGAAAGCUGCUUCACCUGAUUGGACAUGUAGCUGACACACUCCGUUGUGGUAGCCCUCCUCCCCUCCUUGUAGUUCCAUAGCUCAUAGGCAAUGCUUCUGUCGCUCAGACGACCAUACCCUUUCAUCUCCACCAGUGCGUUAACCACAGCAUUAUGGGCACCAGAGCCCCAUGCCCUCUUCAGCUCUUGCAACUUUUCGUCAUCAACGUUCACAAUCUCCUAAUAUGAUAAGCAAUACACAGUCUGUAAUCCUUUAUAAUGGAUCAAAAGCAUCCUGUGAGAUACCAUACCAUGAAGCUUUCUAUAAUUGACAUACCUGCUGAUUGCCAUCAACUGUGACAGUCUUGAAAGGAUACCAGCUCAGAUCACCAAGUUGCUGCUGCCAUGAUGAGUAUAACUCAUGAGAUGCUGUGCCAACUUCUUCAGGAGGUAACUUUGCGAGACAAGCAGCCUUGAAUGCCUUCUCAUUCAAUUCCCCCAUUUCCUUUAUCCCAAUUUUCCUUCCGCCGAUAUCAAUUUCAAGGAAUCCCUGGAACACCAACUUGCAUGUAACAUUGACUCCCACAACAUACACCUCAAACUAAUGAAAUUAUGCUACAAGAACGUAUGCAGUGUCCUGGAUCAAAGAACAAUGAGUAAAUAUUGAGGGAUAUGAUCCAACCUUGAUCAGCUCAUCUCUGACUGCCUCUAGGUCUUCUUCGCUCACCAAAACACAUGAUGUUUGGCCAACAGGUGGCUUGUCUACUAACUCUUUCCUAGGGCACUCUUUGGUUAAUGCAAUAUUGACAGCAUCAUUUCCCUGAAGUCUUUCAGACAGUCUUUUCUGUUUCUCCAUUGGUCCUUUCAGCACCUGCGUUAUGGUUAACACUUAUCAGCGCAAAAAGAUAGCUCAAAAUGCACGGACAAGGAAUGAACAGAAAUGAAAUCGACCGGGGUAAUACUAUUAUCUUAGAAGUUGGUUAGUCACAGACUGAAAUAUAAAACUUGGAGAAAAUCCAGGCCCCUUGCAAAGGUUCCAUACAUUACUAUUUUCCAACAAUUCCAAAGGAGACAGAGAUCGACUAUCCAAUUGGCUAGUAUGCUCAUUUUUGUCAGCGCCAUAUUCCAAAGUUCCUUCAGAUGGCCUCUUCCUCUUUUGCAUUGAUCUUGUUUGCACCUAUUUUCACGAUCAAGAUUAAUGAGCUUGAUAUAAUCCAAUACGGGAAAAGUUAAACCUAAAUAAAGUUAUGAGCGCUGCAGGAGCUUGGCCAUUUUGUAAAAGGUAGGUACAUGAAGAUGGAUAGGUAUCUUAGGAUUGUGUAACCUAACUGAAAAUAUAAAAAGGAGAAAACACAUGUUAAUUUCUCUGCAAAGGUUCUGUGUGAAGGCACUCCAUGUAUUCCAAGCAAGGAGAAGAUUAAUUACUUAUGAAAGUUAAUAUACAAAAAUUUAGAGACAUUCGAUCUGUAAGUUUAACCACAACAACAGAGCAUUAUAAAAGUCUUGAAGCAAGUUGGGGUUGGCUCCUAGACAUGAAACCCAACAAGGCAUAGCAUAAUAUGAAAAAAAAAGAACAACAUAAGUUCAAAAUGUAAAGAGCUAUAACAUGUUAGGCUGCACUGAAGAAUGCGACUGGCCAAUGGCAUUAAGAAAUAACUUAUUAUUGGGGGCAAAGGCUAUAGGUUAUCUUAUUACCCCUUUGGGUUGGAUAGGAUCCAUAACACUUCCACACUGUUGCUCAGCUUGAUUAUUCUUGGCUUCACUCUUUUCGAGCUUUUUUUUUAGAAACUCAAUGUAAUUGUUCUUUAGAGAAAUCUCCUCUGUUGAUGACACAAGUGCAUCCCUUGCUGCCGUCAAUGUGUUCUGUGAUGCCAAAAGGUCCUCCUUCAUUGCUGCCAUAGCCUCUCCAUUUGCUGAAAGAAAAAUUUCAAAUGAGAAAUGGUAUUUCAACUAACUAGAAAUGGUUAAAGAAUGCAAUAAGUGCAUGGCUUUGGUGAAUAUUAUUACAGAAUGUCAUCAUGCCAUUGAACACAAUAUCACACACUGUGGCCCAAAGGAACUACUUCUAGAAACAGAAUUUGGCAUGCAUAUGGAGCUGACCAUGCUGCUCACGCCGGAGCAUCUCCUCCUCAUUCUGGAGCCUCUCCUUCUCUUGUUGGAGCCUCUCCUUUUCUUUAACAACCCCAUCAAUUACAUGUUUUAUCUCGCUGUACUCAGCCAUGGCAUCUUUGAGCAAAGAUAGCUUGAAAUCAACCUUUGAAGCCAUUGCACCUAGGAGCCCGUUCGUUCCUGUGUCCUCUGCCAUUCUAUCUGCAUGAUCAGUAGCCAACAGAAUGUCAUCACAUAAUCACCUGCAUUCUGUUCACCUUACGACAGUUUAUACAUUGUAAAACUGAUCUUGUAGGUCAAUGAAUCUCAGGUGAUGUCAUAGUUUUAGAUGGCACUAAAUGAACCAAGAGUAUGUUAUAGUAACUGAAUGACAAAUAAGCAUGAGGCACGCCUUCAGUUUAGACAAUUCAGAAUUUCAUCAGGGCUAGAUUUAGGUCCACAAUCUAGUUAGCUUAGGAAGUUCAUAAGUUCAUUACAGAUUAUACUUCGACCACAUUAGAUUUCAAGAAAUUGAAGAAACAUGCAGUGUGGUAAACACAUAUGGACUAUAUGAUGGAUGUUUCUCUAUCAUAUCCCUUUGUUGAAAUAGAGGGAGAAACCAAGCUCACAUGAUAUUCAGCGAAGGUAACUGUGACAUGAACAUUGGCCUGAACAAUUGUAUCAUGGAAUGUAUUUCUGAGAUUACUUUCUAUCGUGUGUUUACCUAGUGAUUCCAAAGGCAAUCAGCAACAAGAAUUUAGCACAAACUAAGGCUGUUCAACGAAAAAAGGAGAUCGAUCUGUGCAUGGCGCUGUAACCAAAACCUCACCUUGGCAAAAGGACAACAAGAACUAGCACCAAUUCGUUGCCUACACCCCCAGCAAAUUAUCAGUAGCCGUCAAAUUAACAUGCAGAGGAAGUAUUCGGGUAGAUAACUAGGGGUGUAGUUGAAAUCUGCAAGAGAAGUCAAGAUCAUGAAGCCUGAAGGGCUUGGAAAAGAGUGGCAAAUUUGAAAUUUCAUCCACUGAACCAAAAGCGAACCCACGAAACGGCAUUCAGAAUGCCUUCGGCUCCAACUCACGAAAUAAAAAAAGGGUUUUCUGCAAUGCGAAGUGACAAGAUCGGAUCGAAUCAUGAAAUAGGAAAUUUAUAAGCGAAUGUUUGUUUAUAGCCUUCAAACUAAGAGAGCCAAAACGACAUGAUUUUUUUUUCACCAAAGACGAAUUGCAGAAAACUAAAUCAACUGAGAAUUAAGGUGAGAGGCACACACAAGAACGCACGCUUCCCCUAGAAAAGUAUCGCCUUUUAACAGACGGAAGCAAAAAGAUCCAAGAACCGCGGCAUUGGGUAAAUCUACGCGCUCAAGAAAUGGCUACAACCUAGUGAGAGAACUCUUCCUUCAGAGAGCACAAAAGGAUCCAAGCCUGAGAUGGCAUGAUCAUCCCCAGCCCCAACCAAGAACAGCCACAAACUCGCACGGAAUAAACUGCGCAACAGAUGGAGAAGGUGAGCAGUGAGAUGAGGCGAAAGCAAGAAGAAACACCCACCUAUUUUUUUGAAUCAAUGGAACGUCUCGCCCGCCUUGCAAACCAACCAAGAUGAGCAGUCCAAAUGAAUGUUGUACUGCAAGCUUUGAUUUCGUUGGUUGGCAAGAGAAAGGAGAAAAGCUGAAAGCAGCCGCCAGAGUGGUCUGAACUCUGAACUGGUUCAUGUGGUCGGUGCUCUGCCUCUGCUGCCCUGUGUACCUCGCAGCCAAAAACGGCGAAGCCUAGUCACAGGUCACUACCCUGCUCUGCCUCUGCCUAGUCACAGGUCACACCAAUGCAGGCCCACGUGCCAUAGAGACUAGGGGUGUAGGAUUGGGUGUGAGUAGCUAGAGGUGAAUCCCAAUUGCUGUCUUGCUUUUUUUUUUGGGGGGUUGGUUCACGAAAUCGUCGCCCUGUUCGCUUCAGCUUAUUCAGCCGGCUUAUCAGCCACCGAACAGUCACCCUGUUCGCUUCAGCUUAUUCAGCCGGCUUAUCAGCCACCAAACAGUAUUUUCCUCUCACAACAAAUCAGUCGUUUCAGCCAGCUUAUAAGCUGAAGCGAACAGGGCCAGUGUUUUCCUCUCACAACAAAUCAGCCGUUUCAGCUUUUCAGCCGGCUUAUAAGCUGAAGCGAAUAGUCCCCGUGAUGUUAAGAAACCUCCUUUCACGCAAAAAGGAAGCUCCAAACUUACUCAGAACAAGGGCUUCACAAAAAAGCUUGAUCCAGUGCCGAUUGAAGUUUCUUUAACGUGGUAUUUAAUUUCCUAUGCCACUAAUUCAUAUCAUGUAGCUGUAAGAUGUUCAUGGCAGAUUUUCUUCCAUGUAGAGGUGAGAAUGGUAAUUUUGCAAUGUAAUACAUGUCGGGCUACACAGAUAGAAACUAUUUAUACUAAACUCUUAGCUAAUAAUCAAAAUUGUUUACCUACUAGUCUCUUAUUUUUCCAAUACUUCAACAUAAUAAUUAUAUAGAUAUGUACCUAUCUUUGUCCAGUUGUGAUUGCUUUUUAAUCAAUAAUUACUCUAUGUACUUUUUCAUCCAUAUUCAUACUUUUUCCAUUUUGUAUCACACCUCCAAUCCUUCAUACAUUAUGUUUAGCAUACAAAUCAAUAUUUUUCAUCGAUUCCUCACAUACAUGUAUAAAUGGUCUAAAUGGUGGCACUCAUCAUGUGUAUAUCCUUUAACUUAGUGUUUUUAUAUUAACAAUGACAUAAAUAGGUAAUUUAGAAUCAUAUAUUAAUUUACUUUUUAACAUUUUUGUACGAUGCACACGAAGAUAAUUAGAUUAAGAUUUAGGUGUUUACUUUAGGUUAUUUUUAAUAUCGACAUACGAUGGUAACAUAGAUAAAAUUUUAGAAUGAUAUUUUAAGUUGUGCUUUAUAAUGAUGUGUAUUAGUAAAUUGGAUGAAGAUUAUGAGGUUACUUUAUAUUAUUUUUUAUAAUAGCUGAGCUCGGUAAUUGAGAUAUAGGUUUAGAGCUUACUUUUUAAUAUUUUCACAGUGACAGUAGCAGGUAACCUUUUAGAAAAUAUAAUAGAUCAAUGGAUAUGAUUAUUAGAGUUUACAUUAUUGGUGUUUGAUGUUUUUAAUUUUUAUGAGAAUUUCUCUCUUUUUUCUAGCUUAUCUCAUGGGAACUAAUGUGGAGUUUCCAAUGGAAAAAAAUGUAGGGUUACCUCAUGUUAUUUUUAAUAAUAGCAUGUGUGUGGUAUAUAGAUGCAAAUUUAAGGGGUUACUUAAAAAUUUUAAGUAAUAGUGGUAGUCAAUUCAGUUGCAAAUUAGGGGGUUAUUUUAGAUAUUAUUUAUAAUGGCAUAAGUGGGUAAUUUUGAUGAAGAUUAGGGGUUACUUUAAUUAAUUUUAUAUAAUGGCAAAGGUGGAUAAUUUAUAUAUAGAUUUAGGGGGUUAUUUUAGACUAUUUUCAUAAUGGUAUGGGUGGGUAAUUUUUUAAAAAAACAUAAUAGAUCCAAUGGCUAUAAUGAUUUGAAUCUAUCAACCGAUGGUCGGAUGUUUUGCUUUUUUGUGAGAAUUUCUAUGAUUUCUCUCCUUUUCUAGAGUGUCCAUCUAGAAAUCCUAGGUGGCUUCACCUGGAGGCUUCAAAAGGAGCCUCCAAUUAGUAAUAGGAAGAUACCACAGCAUAUGCCACUUCCUCCAUUUCAUUUUAUAAGGCAUGCGUGAAUUGUAAGAGUCAAACCUUGUCAUUUUUAACAAACAAUUAGCCAAACAUGAUAUAAAAUCCUAUUACGAAAAAAUGAUAUCACUAGAUUCAAUUCACAUUUGAAAAAUACUCUCUUAUUGUUAUGAUUUUUUUGAGUUAAACCAUGCCCUCUAUCUUUAAAUGAAGGUCUUAGCUUUCUUACUCGUGUAGAUCUUAGACUACAAAAUCACCGAGUACAAAGGGGGCAAGUUCAAUUUCACACUGUCAAGAGCCACUGAACAGCACUUAGGGUGUGCUUGGUUGGCAGCCUUGGUUUGCCAUGCCGCAGUGUGGUGCAGGAAAUCGACGCCACACUCCGUGGCGUGAAAUGCUCUAGACUUCACCUGUUUUGCAUGUGGCUGCCGGUACAGAGCAGACCAACCAAGCACCUGCCCAAUUUUUUAUGGCUACCGCACUUGUGGCUUGGCAGCCGAGACCCAAGCACGCCCUUACUAUACGAGAUCCCUCCAUUGUGGGCAGGGCAAAGUACGUUGUUACACACAGCACCACUCAGUCUAAAUUCUAAAAUAUUCCAUGGAAUGCACUACGUACUAGUUGGCCUUUCACUUGGGAAAAUUUUUUUGGCAACACUGUAAAUUUGUUGUCAAACAAAAGUAGGCCUUGUCGUGCACAAUAGAGAUGUGCAUCAUCUAUUGCGCUAGGUGUUAUGAAUGGGUUUACUGGGCCUCCCGGCCUCAGUCAGGCUGUCAAAAACACAAAACUGGAAGCCCGGACCAUUCAGCCCAUGGAUCUUAAACGUGUAUACUAUGGAUGUGUUGAGGUCUUGAGGACCAAAUCUCUCAAUUGUGAGCUUUUCUACUAGACUCACCAGCAGCACACAUUGGAACAAAGGAAAACUAAGGAAUUUUGAAGGAUUUCAAUCCUAUAGGGAAAUUUCCUAUGUGCCUAUGCUGCAUCCAAAGGUUAUGUUACACAUUCUGAAUUUCAAUAGGAUUGCAAGUUUCAUGCAACUUCAAUAGAAUCCUAUUGUUCCAAAGAGAGCCUAAUAUCCUUGAUCCUUGCCUGAUCAGGCAAACUCAAUGCAGUCACUUUGAUUUGAAACUUCGUCUGAAUUUCUCGCUUAUUCAGUGCUAAGUAAGAAGCUUGGCUGCCUUGGCAUGAUCCAUGACUGACAACAUGUAAUGUAAGCUUGGUGUUGGUGAGAAGAAACAAAGACAGUACAAGCAGCAGCAGCAGCAGCAGCAAUACAUGCAUUUCUGGAUUCUGAUCAACUAGAGAGAAAGAGUGAACCUUAACAACAGUUGUGAAAAGAGAAACAACAGGAAGAGAUUCAUGGCGUCGUCGUCUGAUUGCUGUUGGUUUUACAUGUCGCGUCCAAGAAGGCAAGAAAGUGUGUCAAGCAGGUCGAGCGGCGGUGAUGGCGUCGGCGGCGGCGGUCAGUUCAUGUCGGUGGCGGCGGACCAUGGGCGGGAGCAGCCGAGCUGCUCGAGGAACUUGGCGACGCGGGCGUGCUUGGCGGCCCACUGCUCGGCCAUCUUCUCCUCCUUGAGCUGCGCGUCGCGGCGGAGCUCGGCGACCUUCUCCCGGUGCUCCCGCUCGACGCGCUCGGCGGCGGCGGCCUGCUCGAGCCGCAUGGUGCGCAUCUUGGCCUCGAACUCCUCCCACACCUCGCGCCGCCGCAUCUCGCGCUCCAUCUCCAGCUGCUGCUCGACGCGCUUGAGCCGCCACGCCGCCUCGCGCCGGUGCGCCGCCCACGCGCGCUGCCCCUCCUCCAGCUCCCGGCAGCACUCGGCGAGCUCCGCCAGCGCCUGCCCCUCCACCACCGCCAUGCCUGGGGCCGGCGGCGGGCCGGGGGGAGCGUGCUGCGGGCUCGGGAACCCGUACGCCGCCGCGGCCGCCUCCGCCGCGGCGCGCUCCACCGGCAUCCACUGCGCCGGGGCGGGCGGCGGCGGCGCCACCGCGGCUGACGCGAGGCUGAGCGUCACGGACGGUGACGGCGGCCUGGGGGGCGGCGCGACUACCGCGGCGGCGUUGGGCGACGACAGCCAUGGCGGCAGCACGGGCGCCCCGGCCAUGAUCAGCGGUGGCGGCGGCUGGGGCGGCGGCGGCCUCUCGCCGACGAGCUUCUCCGCGAAGUUCUCGAGCAGCCACUCGUACCUCCCGCGCUCGUCGGGGCUGGGCUCCGGCGGCGGCCUCCUGCUGUCCCUGAGCUCCCGCUGCUGCUUCUCCUUGAAGACCUCCCACCACUUGCCGAGUCGCUUGGCGGUUCGCCCCGGCACCUCUGCGGCGAUCUUCUUCCACUUGUUGCCGUGCUUGGCCUGGAGGCGAAUGACGAGGCGCUGCUCGUCGUCGGUGAGGGAGCCCUUCUUGAUCCCCGGGCGGAGGUAGUUCUUCCAGCGCUCGAGGCAGGACUUGGCGUCGCGGUCGAGGGCCACGCUCAUGCGCUGCGACACCAGGUGCCACUCCCGCGGGCCGUACUGCCGCACGUACGCCCGCAGCACCGCGUCUUCCUCAGGCCGCCACCUCUGUCGCUCCUUCAUCUGCGCAGGCCAUCGCCCAUCCCGCACCUCCACACACUCUCAUAAUGCCACCUGCUUCCAUUGCAGCCAUGGAUUCCAUACCAUGCCAUGCAGAGAGAAAAAAAGACCAGAUCUUUCUUUAGAUCAUCGCAACAUCAAUCAGUUUGAACAUUGAAAAAGAAAGAUCAAGCAAAAAGAGGCACUGGCAACUAACUAACUAUGCUAAUCUGACAUGGAUCACACAGAUGUUUCAGUCAGUGUCUUGCUACAUGCAGUGAUGCAGAACAGUGAUGGCCAUAGCAGAGAUGGGGAAGAAAGAAGAGCAACCAGGUAGAUGCCUGUUUUCAGUGGUGGUUAGCUGCUCUAAUUCAUUGCAAUGCAGCAUUCAUAACUGCCGGUUUCAGGUUGGGGGUGGCAAGAGCACUAAAGCAGGGAGAGGAGUAAUAGCUACUGUGACCUGCAAAGCUCGCUAGUCGCCACUCCUGCAGCUGCCUACAGAGACAGCAGCCAAUGCAUACUCCAGAAACAUUACUGCGGCUCUAACAAUUCUCCCACACGGUAGACAGGAUCAUCUGCAACUUCUCCAGGCAACAUUUACACUGCUAGUAGCAUGACCAAGAACAGAUUCUCCCUUUUCCACAUUUCUUUCUUGACCAAGACUAGAACUUGCAGCCUUGCAGGCAACCUAUGACAAAUGGUAGAAACUGUUCAAGAUUAACCCGUUGUAACUUUUACUAUACCAAGGUCCAAGGUAGUAAAACCUACGGGCCAUCAACCUUGACCAAGUAAUAAGGUUAACCAAACUUCAGAGCUACAGCUACCGAAGUGAAGCUCAAGCAAUCAGGCAUCCAAGGCUACGACGCCGCUACCAAUCAGCGCGCACACAUGGAGACAAAGGUGUGGGCACGGCCACGGCCGCUACGAGCAAGCACGCGCUGUUUUCUCGCGCGCUUGUCUGGUUUCUGGAGCGGGGUCGCCAUCCGCCAUUAACGUGGCGCCUCAUCGAGGACGGAGAGCUCAAAUCCGCCCGGAUUAAAUGCCAAACCUAAUACUCGUGCCUCAGGGAAAGCAAAAAGCCAACGCGGGGGGAUAUCGAGCAAAUCUCAGACAAUAAUGCCACCUUGAUGACGCCAGGACCAGCGCUAAUCCGAGCUUUGGCGCCUUUACUAAAUGCUAAUGGCAGGUUAGAGGCGGCCACUCCCAUGGAUGGCGAAGCUUUGGAGCUUGUGGAUUGGUGAAGUGAAAUUUGCAAAGGAUGGAUUAAAAUUACUGGAGUGCAUUUUUCACCUAACCGUUAAACUGUCUGUAGAAACAGGAUCCAAGACAAAACAGUUUUUUUCAAGAGAGUUGGUUUAGAGAAAACUUAUGGGGCCUAACCGUUAAGACUGAAUCUUGAACAAGAUACUGCUAGCAAACAGAGCUAAGCCUAUGCUAUAGGUGUUCAAGAUUGGUUGGUCCUACGAAAUUUAUCGUCCCGUCAAGCAUAAUGAUGGGGAAACAAAAAAAAUAGAUGUUGAAAGCAAUGUAUCAAAGCCGAAUCGAUGUGGUAUUUCUAGCGGCUAUGGCACUGACAAAUUGAAGGCAGUGGGGUUAUGCUACAGUUAGGAUGGGACUUGGAUCUGUGGUGCUUUGUACAGGUUGUGCAAUCUUUAGAUUCAGGUAAUCCAUACAGCAGCAAGUUCGUUUUCUCUUCAGAUUCCUCAUCAUUCUGCAUCCUUCUUUGGUCAUAAUUCUCGCAUAUGCAAGUGAAUAUUCCAAAGGGCACUAGAGAUGAAGAGGAAGCAGUUGAAACAAUCAUGAAGCAAUCGAACCAGAAAUGAUGAGGGAAACAUGGCAUUUCUGAAAGGGGUAAAACUCUCAAGUACAUAGUAACAUGAUGGCAUAGUUUACUUCUGAAUUUCUAGGCUUUACUAAGAAAAACGGUGAUGCCGUGCACACACUGACAAAAAAAAAAGAAUCAAAAUAACAACAAGGAUCCUAACGUAGAAAGCAUCAGUACUCAAUACUGCAUAUGCAGUAAUACUUGCCAAAAAAAGGAUUACCAGGACACCCAACAACCAGUAAAUUGAUGCAGAAAGUAGUAGACAAUAGCUGAGAACCUGCUACGAAUUAAGACGACGAAAUUUCCUACUCGCACAGUGGCACCACAAAGAAGAAAUACAGGCACAAUACUGUAACGGCAUAGGACUAACAGUCUGCCAUCAUUUUCCACACAACACAACCUAGUAUAAAACACGACCCAGGAACCAGGGAGCAAUCCUUAUCACAAGAUCAGCAUCUACCACAGUAUGUAGCACCAGGUGUAUGUGCAAGCCAAGAAACGAAUAGAUCAGGCUACUCCACAUCACAAGCAGGAGUUUUGAGAGCAAACCAUCCCCUUUUCCCUCUUAAACAACCCAAACAUCAACAAACUGAACUAAACGAGCAAGCACAAGAAAGCAGAAAACUAUCUACUAUCUUUUUCCAGAGCACAGCAACUGGCACCACUGCCACUGGAUGGUGGUAAUGAACUGAAACUAGUGAGCUGAGACGGUUGAGGAGAGCAGGGAUGCUUACAGAGGCACGGCUACACCAUCCUUUCCUUGCUCAGCAGUUCCUGCCCUCCCUCCUCUCCUUGGUUGAGUUGAGGCUGGAGGUGGAAGAAGGAAGAGGAGUCCCCCAAAUAAUUGCAGAGGUGAAGAUGACCAAGGGCCUGGCCUCUAGCAGGAGACGAGAGGAGGCAAGGGAUAGGGAGGUGCGAGCUGAAAGAUUCCUUUCCGCGGCCGGCCGGCUCGCUCGGUCACGGCGUGUGUGUGUAUGUAUAGAAGGGGAGGGAGAGGGAGGUGAGGUGGGGGACAAGGCGCAGCGAGAAAUUAGGGCACGCGGAAAGGAAAAGACGGGGCGAAAGGGGGUGGCCGAAAAGGGGGCGCGCGUGUAUAUAUAGACAGGGCGCGGCGCGGUAGAGAGAGCCAGCAAGCGAGCGAGAGAGAGAGAGAGAGAGAGAGAGAGAGAGAGAGCUGCUAGCGAGCUAGGCUGGACUGGAGCACUGCAGGUGCAGCGGCAACAGGCCAACAGUUGCAGGCAGGGGCAGGGCAAGAACCACACCCACACGGCUACACAUGCAGCGCUGCCGCAGCAUGCACAUGGAGGAGCUGGAGGAGGAAGAGGAGGAGCGUGCAGGGCAGCCAGUACGUGGUUGUGGGGGUGGGCCGGGGGCGCUUUCUCUGCGCCGAGCUGACUUCACAGUACUGGUACUGGCUGGGGGAGGGAGGGAGAGAGAGAGAGAGAGAGAGAGGCACAAACAAGGGAUGGGUGGAGCUCAGCUCGCAUUGGGACCAGGGGGGUGGGUGUGGCGGGCACCUCAGCUCAAAUCAAACUGUUUCAUGGAAUGCAGGGAUUCCUUUCGAAACCCAUGUAAAAUUCAUGCAAUCCAAACGAAGUUUUUUUGCAUAAGAGUGCGCACGGAUCCGAGAUUCCUUGGACGGGCGGCAGAACCUGCGCUCGUGGAUUCAUUCACAUAUUUUCAUUCAUCGCAAAUGGCCAAAUGGGGUUCGAUGAGGGCAGAGAACGUUCGAAUCGGAGGCGGAGGGAAACCGAAGAGAGGAGGAGGCGAUGGGACGUGCAACCAAUGGCAGCAGAGCAGGCUGGGUCCGGCGGUGGGAAAAGGCGCCGUACGUCGUCGGCGUCGCGUCUUGUCGCGGCGGCAGCGCGUGGAAAGCGAUGAAAAGAUGGGGAGGGAAAAGCAGCAGGGAAAAGAGGUGAUUCCACGAGUCAAAUCGGAACAACAUGGCGGAGGUUACGGGUUGAACGUUUUAGGUUGUAGCCGCUGCUGCCUCACCCUCGUUGCCUCCUUCGUUGGGGUGGUUAAGGGGUGUUUAGUUUCUUGAGUUAAAUUUUAGUUUCUGUCACAUUAAAUAUUUGGAAGCUACUUAGGAGGACUAAAUAUGAGUUAAUUAUAAAAAUUAAUUGCACAGAUGGAGGUUAAACGGCGAGAUGAAUCUAUUAAGCCUAAUUAAUCCAUCAUUAGCAAAUAGUUAAUGUAGCAGCACAUUGUCAAAUUAUGGACUAAUCAGGCUUAAUAGAUUCAUCUCGCCAUUUAGCCUCUAUCUGUGCAAUGAGUUUUGUAAAUAGUCUAUAUUUAAUACUCAUAAUUAGUAUCUAAACAUUCGAUGUGACGGGAUUAAACUUUAAGGGGUGGGAACCAAACACCCCCUAAACCUAUUUCCAUUCGAUGCACCCCGACAACAAUACUCAUGGAACCACUCGUGAGCAUCUCAACGUACUACUCAUUUUACUCAUUUUUAACUCUCCAUUUGACUCUCUAUCUAAAUUGGUAAAAAGAUUUAUCUCCAUAUUGAGUGUCUGUUUGGUAGAGCUUCAUCUGAUUCUGAUUCUCUGUGAGAGUUGAUUCUAUGGGAGAAGUGAUUCUGUGGUUGAGAGUGAUUCUCUUUUAUUCUCUAGCAUAAACUCUUAAAAUUAGGAUGGAGAAUCCCUUCACAGAAUCAGGAGAAGCUACUUUUUUCCAGCUCCAACCUCUUAGUUCAUUCACAGAAUCACUUCACACAAUCAGCAGAGAAUCACUUCUCUCAGAAAAACUAUUUGGCAGAGCUACUGCUGGAAUCAGCAUAGAAUCAGCUCUGGAAACUCUACCAAACGCACCCUGAGUUGCUCAUUCCCAACAGACUAUACAUUUCCCACUCUCCGAAUCCCAACAACUAGUUUCCUCUCUAAAAAUACGCACUCUACAUCCACUCCAACAGCCUCUCCCUUUCGCACUACAACAACCUCUCCAUUUUGCACUCUCCAUUCUUUCACUUACUGCGUGUGAAACCCACACUUUGACAAGGCAAAUUGCCUUGCCAAAUUUGGCAAGUGUGAAGUGAAGUUCGGCAAAUCGGAUAGGAUGAAGAGCCAGAUAGCAACUCUGUUGGACCACAAUUUUCUUACUAAUUUGCUAAAUUUUAGCUUGGAGAGUCAGAUAGAAACUCUGUUGGAGUUUCUGUGUACUAGGUAGUACUAAUUACUUGACAUUUGGAAAGUAGGAAAUUGAUAGUUGGAGGGACUGUGCCCCUCACAGAGUCACAAGUCGUGCCGUUCUGAAGGAUCUUGUGUAGUACUGUACUAAAUAUAUAUAUAAAAAUAUAUAUAACUACUAUUUUCAAAAAGUCACUUACUGAACCAUGUGCACGUCUACACUAGAAUAAUGUCUUGGAAUAAAAAUGUCAAACAGAACUAGCACUAUUACAGUGGGCCGCUUGGGUGCUUCACUUUUUUAAACACAAAAUGUGCCCACGUAUAUUAGUGAACACCAGGCUGUAGCACUGGGACUGAUGAGCACCUGCUAUUGUUGCAUUCAAUUUAGGACAUUUUUUGAAUCUCACAAACUCAGUUAAACCGGGACGGAGGGAGUAAAGUUAGUUCGCAGAAUUCCAAGAUCAUCUACAGCUGGUUGUUUAUCAGUUGUUUAUCGGUAAGCACAAUCCUAGGAUGAACUAAUAACCAGAAGCGGAUUUCUUCAAUUUUUCGUAACAAGUCAAAAUCCAACAGCGGAAGUUGUACCAACCUUUGUUUCCAAAUACUUUACAACUUUGACCACUUUAUUUGUUUCCAAAUACUUGGCACUUCACAUUUCCCGAAACAUAGUUUCCUAUUUUGACCCUCACUCAAUGCUAUAAGAAUGUUCUAGAAAUAUUGGGAGAUAACUCUAUAAGCGUAUUUUGGUCAUUUCUUACACAAAAAGUGGAUCACCUUGGUAAUCGUGCAUUGGUAAGAGUUGCCAAGUAUUUAGAAAUGGAGGUUAGUACAAACUAGUCCGUCAACCCGUGCUCCCGCACGGGUUAAUGCUUUUAAAGGCUAUUGUAUUUGAAAAUUAUUUAGAAAUUAAACUUCUAAUUAAUAGUUAAAAAUUUUUACUUCUUAUUCUCUCUUUUUCAAUCCUUCAACAUAAUACUCAUAAAGAUAUCUACUUAUGUAUUUCUAGUUUUGAUUGAUUUUUAAUUAAUAAUUACUCUACACACCAUUUCAUCCACAUCCACACUUUUUUUCAUUUUGUACCGCACCUCCAUAUAUUAUGUUUAGCAUAAAAAUUAAUAUUUUUCAUCACUUCCUCACAUACAUGUAUAAAUGGUCUAUAUGGUGUCACUCAUCAUGUGUGUAUACCUUAACUUAGUAUUUCUAUAUUGGACAUAAUAGGUAAUUUAGAAUCAUCUAUUAGUUUACUUUUGGACAUUUAUGUAUGAUGCACAUGAAGAUAAUUAGAUUAUGAUUUAGGUGCUUACUUUAGAUUUUUUUUAAUAACAACAUAUGUGGGUAACUUAGAUAUAAAUUUAGAAUGACAUUUUAAGUUAUGUUUUAUAAUGAUAUGCAUAAGUAAAUUGGAUGGGAAGACCUCAACAAUUUAGAUAAAGGUUUAGUGUUUGUUUUAGAAUAUUUUUAUAAUGAAAGUGGUGGGUAACUUUUUUUAAAAUAUAAUAGACCAAUGACUAUGAUUGUUAGAGUUUACUGGAUUGUUGUUUCUAAUUUUUGUAAGAAUUUUUUAGGAUUUGUCCUUUUUUCUAGCAUGUCUUGUAGAACUUAGUCUCCAAUGGAAAAAAAAUGAGACCACAUUGCUACAGACUAUUACUUUGAGCUACCUCUCAUUUGUUAAAUAUUCGAACACAAUACUUAUAUAGAUAUAUACUUAUUAUCUUUAUCCAAUUGUGAUAGAUUUUAGUUAGUAAUUACUCUAUAAUAUUUUCAUCCACAUUUAUAAUCUUUAACUUUUCACAUUGCAUCGCAGUUAUGCACUUCAAUUUUUUUAAUAAUGGAUCCUAAGUUUGAGCUAUAAUUUUAACAUAGAAAUCAAUAUUCUCAUUACUUGCUCUAUAUCUUUAUAAAUUGUGACACACAUCAUGCAUAUGUAGCUUAAUAAUUAUAUCAUAUACUAAUAUAUGAUUUAGAACAAUAUAUUGGUCUAUAUUUUUAAUUAAGGUGAUUUGGAUUAAAAUUUAGUUUAUCUCAUGUUAUUUUUAAUAAUAGCAUGUGUGGGUAAUAUAGAUGCACAUUUAUGGGUUACUUUAAGGUAUUUUUAUUUAAGUAUUAGUGGUGGACAAGUUAGUUACAAAUUAAGAAAUAUUUUAAAUUAUUUUUAUAAUGACCUAAGGGUAAUUGUGAUGACGGACCUUGCUAAAGUACACCUCUUACCUCCUGAGAGGUAAGACGUGAAUUAAAUCUGGACCCUUGAUUAUUAAGAAAAAUCCAAUUAAAAAAUAGAAAAAAAACUACUAACCCACUUCUUUCCAACUACCGGUGACAUGUAUGCAUGCAUCCAUCCAGUCUUUAUCUCUUUAAAGUCCCGUCAGCAUGUGUUCAUAGCAUCAUAAACAUUUUAAUUUUUUUCCACAAUUUUUUCUCUACUAUUGUGCAACGGCAUGUAGGUCCCAUGUCUGCCAUGUCUCAUAGUAUGAUUUUUAUUCGUGACAUCUGCACAUGUAUGCUAUUUCUGAUAUUGCUAAAAAUUUAAUCUCAUGUCCAAGCAAUUUCUUGUUACAAUGUUACGCAUGAUAUAAUUGUCACUUCACCUAAAAAUUUGACCUGCCAUGUCUCACUUGAAAUAUGUUGCAUAUAACGCAAUUAUUACUUAUCUAAAGAAAUAAUCUAUUAGAUGUCAAGAAAUAUAUUUGCGUAUGUACAUUGCAACUCACAUGCAACCAUUAGUAUAUUUUUUUAAAAAAAAUAGAUCAAGUACAUACAUGCAUCUGUCACAUAAUGGAAUUAGAUUUGCAUACAUAUUUUUUGAAGUUUUUGUACACAUCACGUUAGGAUAGUUAGAUUAGGGGUUACUCACAUGCAACCAUUAGUAUAUUUUUUUAGAAAAUGAGAUCACGUAUGCACAUGCAUCUGUCAUGUAACAAAUUAGAUUUACAUAAUUAUUUUGAAUUUUUUGUACAUAUCACAUUAAGGUAAGUUAGAUUAGAGGUUACCUUAGUUUAUUUUAUAUAAUGGCAUGAGUGGAUAAUUUAGAGACGGAUUUAGGGGUUACUUUAAGCUAUUUUCAUAAUGACAUAGGUGGGUGAUUUUUUAAAAACAUAAUUGAUCCAAUGGCUAUGAUGAUUUUGAGUCUAUCAAUUGAUGGCCAGAUGUUUUUGCUCUUUUUUGAAAAUUUCUAGGAUUUCUCUCGAGUGUCCACCUAGGAUCCUAUGUGGCUUCUAGAGACUUCAAAGGAAUCUCCUAUUAGUAAUAUUAAGAUUAUGCCCACGUAGCAUCAACGACGAAGGUUAACCUUUCAAAUCGGCAUGAACGGCCGUGAACGAACGUUAUAGUCCACACAUGCUACUGUACCGCAUUGUUGCACCGAGGGAACCAAAGAAAUAAAACGAGGUUAGUACGUACUUCCCGGUGACAUGAUGACCAAGUACCACCACACGCACCAUCAGUCACGUUACUGUGCAUACACGUACGCAUGAACACACCCAAAAAAAAUCAUAAUCAUGUGUGCGUUGCGUUGCAGGCACAUACAUAAAAGUGAGGCCACCGGCCGUGCGGCCCGGCUCGUUAUGGUCCCUGCCGGCCGGUGCCGGUGAUUGUUGUUGUGUCCGUCGCAUGCACAUGGUGACAAAACCAUGAUGUGAUUGCAACUGCGAGCAGCAUGCGAACGCAUAGCAGCAGAGGACCCUCCUGCUGCUGCAUUAUUGAAGCCAGGCCAGGCCCGGCUUGGGGCACGUCGAUCGAGUCCUCGACCGUGGGCGCGCUUGGUUUCGAGCCACGCCACGCCACUGUCCAUGUAGUCCUUUGUGGCGUGGCGCUAGAAAAGAGCGUCACACCCGCCAUACUACGGUGGCCUACAACCAAGCUGUCCAUGUAGUCCUCUCCGGCCGGUGAUCGAGCAAUCACGUAGCCGGUGAUCAUCGAUGCACAAAGUACGUCUUGAUUAGCUUAAGGACGUACUUGCACUGGCGAUUAACUUCGUUUAGGGGGACAAUGAGGAACCAAUGUCCAAUGACGAUGAACUCAUGUUUACAGGUGGUGCCGGACGACGCCGGAGGGGCCCCGGGGGCCGGGGUGUCUGUGGUCACCGGCCGACAGGGAGGUACGGUGGGGGCGCCGGCGCCCCCGGCCGCGUGCCCGUGCGUGUGCGUGAGUUGGCACGGCGGCGACUCGUGGUGCGGAGGCCGUUUUGUACGGUGCUGUCGAUCGACCCGCGACGUAGCAGGUAGCCAGGUAGCGUGGAGUACGUACGUGUGCCCCGAGAAUCGAGAGGGUCAACCGGCUUGUACGCUUCCUGCUCCUGCAGAGACCUGAAGGGCCAGGGCCAUGGCCAGCGAUCCGUCCAUGAACCAUCCAUCUCGGGUCCACCAAGGCUCUUGUAAGGUCUUGAACGAACGUGCAGUAAAAAGAAAAAAAAAAUUCACACCACCUGCCGCUCGUUACUUGUUACUGUAGGGGCGACCGCCCGGUGGAUUAUUGCUUGGCACAACGUCGCUUUUGGCCGAUGGAGCUACAAACCUCUUGCUUGUGGAUACCGACGGCCAUUUCCCACGAGGCCACGAAUAGGUUCUUGUGAUGUUAGCACAGAAAAGGCUAGUUGCGUGCAAAAUGGCACUAGGCCGGGUAUCCAGUAGGCAAGCCGUUUGCAUCAAAGCCAUCGAGCUACCUGGCCGCCCAGCAUUUGCUCCCGGGCAGGGCUACCUGCAGUCCGCAGAGGCUACUAUAUCUACGGCAGUGACCAUGAAGGCAACUCCGCGCCCCGGCUUUCCUCUCUGCCCGGCGCAGCAUCCACGCCGCCCCCGGCCCCGUCGAGGAAGAUCUCCGAUGUCCGAUCCACCCAGACGACGACGACGACGACCCCCACCCCCGCGCUGCCAUCUCGAUCAGACCUCCAACAAGCCACUGCCCUGCAUGGCAGCAUUUAGGGCCUGGGCGCAGGGCGCGGCCAGAGCCCCCAGCGGCGAGGGAGACCUGGGAACGGCAAAGGCCAGCGGCGCACGCAAAGCAAGCGCCCAUGCCCAGGGAACACACAGAGCUACUAGCGCCCCCCCCCCCCCCCCCCCCCCCCCCCCCCCCCCCGCCCACAGUGGCAGGCACUGGCACAGGUGGGAGCUAGCCGCCAGGAUCCCGUCUCCCGCCCGGCGGGCACCAGCCGGCCGGCUGCGGCUGGGGCGCGCGGCGCGCCGCUUGAGGUGGCCGCGAACCACGUAGGAUACUCUUGGUACGUGGUGGUGACCACUGUGCCGCAGCGACCCGGCUACAGUAGAUGGCGAGCGGCGCGCGUCGCGUGCCGGCGUACUCCUUCCGUCCUUUCUAUGUGUCGCUUGGGAAGCGUACGUCCGUGGGCUGUGGGCACGCCGGUGCACGCGCGAUCGAUGGAGGGGACGCUACGUCGUCUGGGCCGUACGGCAGUCACCCCCCGUCGUCGUCAGGUCAGGUGAUGCGACGUGAUAGCGCCUGCGUGUGCUUCCUCUGCUCUCUGUGCUCUCCUCUGAUCGUCGAUCAGUCGAUCACCGCUUUUUAUUUUUAUUUUUUUUGCUUUCUACUGUUGUGCGAAUUUAUGUACCUAAUGUUUUGGCUGCAGGUAGCUGACGGCUAGAUUUCUGCUGGCGAGUUUCUAGUUUAUUUGGAUUCAGAGCCGCCAUUUGUGCUAUCGGUUUCCUUGUUUGCUUUGCAGAUGCAAGGAAACGCGCCGGGUUACUACUCCGGGGCCGGCCGGCGGCCUCGCGGGUGUCCUUCCUGACGACGGCAGCAAGCAGAUUGCGCAGGUGCUGCGACGCUGCGGGCAGGGCAUCUGCCGGGCCGCGAGCUGAGGAGCAUGCAGCAGCGACCACCAGCGGCAACAGCGCACUGCCAAUGGCUGGCCCGGGCUGGUUCGAUCGGUCAGGCCGUCUCAGCUACAUGCGCCGGGCGAGAUGCCGUCAAGCUCUCAUCGCUCUGCGCGUGUUGGGUGUGUGUGCAUGCAAGGGGCCGAUGGAGGUGCAUUUGUACUGAUCAUGCAUAUGAUCGGAGCACCGUUUGGACUUUGGAUGUGCUGCCAACGUGGACACAGCAGUAGUAGUACAGUACCUUAGUACAUACAUCCCAUGGUCCAUGGACACGCGAGCAGGAGAAAUCUCAAGGCACGUGUACUAUCGUACGCUGAGGGGGAGAAGAGGCUGAGGGGCUGAGUGCUGAGCCUGGAGAGGUAGGUCUAGGUGCUCUAGCUAUUUAUGCUAGUGCUACCUACGAGCAGAGCAGAGAAGCUAGGCAUGGUUAGCUAGCUUCCCUCGGUCGGGUUGGCAGGCGCCGCCCCAUGAUGUACCACCAGCCAGGGCCCAGGCGCGCGGGAGAGGUAGUACUGUAGUGGAACCGUAGGACGGCCAUGCGGCCUCCCGGAGGGACGACGACGCUGCUGCUCCACGAACCGCGGCGUGCACGCCGACUCUCCGCGUUGGACGAGGGUUGUGAGGGCACGCACGCCGGGAUAGACAGGGGCUAGCGAUCGGAGGAGCAGGACCGGUGGCCGGUGGUAGCUGCGGCGGUGCGGGUGGGGCCCGCGCGGAUAGCGAUGGUGCGAGCAGGCGCACCGCGACGACGACGACCGGCCCUGCCCCGACUGCGGCUGCAUUGUCAGCCGAGUUUUCGUGCCACGUCCAGAUAUUUACAAGGAGAGAAGGAAGAGUUUUAUCCUAUGUUAGAAGAGUUUCGUUCCCAUGACAUACAGGGAUUGUUAUCUACUCUCUCCGUUCUAAAUUAUAGGUCAUUUCAACUUUCUUAGAGAACCAAACCAUAUUAUGUUUGACCAAAAUUAUGAGGAUUACAAAGUUUUACGGUACCGAAUAGAUGUAUUAUGAAGAUAUAUUUAAUAAAAAAUUUAAUAUUACUUAUUAAUAUUUUAUUGUAUAAAUUUAGUUAGAGAUGUUUCUCGAAAGUUGAAAUGACUUACGAUAUAAAGGAACUGUGCAAUGAAACCAGACUGGCCUAAGGCUGCACCUACGGGGCAGCACGGGGCGGAGGAGCGGACGGACGAUGGUGAGGGAGUAGUCGUCCGUGUUUCGCGGCACGAUGUGGCAGCCAUGCCCAUGCAUGGGGUGCUCUGGCCUGCCCAGUCGCGCCCCUGCUCCUCCUGCUGCCGCAUGCGACCGACGCCACGGGGACCCUUCCCUUCUUCAAUUCUUUCCUCCCUCACCUCACUGCUCACAGUCACUGAGCUCUCUCGCUCGUCGCUCCGCCCGCUAUUGCUACUAGCUGGCUACUAGUUCCUCUCUCCUCCCCGGCCACGCAAGGACGCAGCCGAUACGAACCUGACCCUGACCGGCUCCGUGCUUGCUGCGAGCAGUAGCGGGAGACGCGUAGGGCUAGCUCCUCAAAGCCUCUCUCACACAAUGCAUGCACCCUGGUGCUGCUGUCAGGACUCGAGACCUAGCCCAUCGGCAUGCAGCGGCAGGCCAGGCAGGGGAUCGGACGGACGGACGACAGGUAACGUCGCUGUCGGACAGUCCUGCCGCGCCCCCCGCCGCCCCGCGCGCCGGGCGCGGGUUGCGGUGGGGCCCCUCCUCCCCAGGCCGCGCAGGGGGCCGCACCGGCCGGCCGGCCGGCGUGCGUGCCGGAGCGCUUGUCUCCUUCCGGCUGCUAGUAGUACAGCACAGGCAGCUAGCGGCAGUCGUCGCACGUACGUAACGUACGCGCGCGCGCGUGCACCGCCGCUACGGCCCCCGCCCAUGUACGUACCACUCUCCAAUGUUUUGUGGGGUUAUCGACCCACUGUUCAACUUCAACACGCUCUGCGGAAAGAGAAAGAGAAAGCUUUACUGCCUGUACACGGGAACAGGUUCGCAGCCAAAAUUUUAGCGCGCCAAAAUAUUGGGAAGCUAAUAUUUUGCGUAUCAUUUGGUUUGAUACCAAAAUUUGACAACUUCUCUUUUUUAUCUUCCUAAAAUCUUGACAACUUUUUUCCUAAAUUUUGGCAAGCAAACCGAUCAGCUCUAAAUGCAGCAAAUGUUAAUUGGCAAAUCUGCAGCUCACGGUACUGGAUUAAGAUUGUGUUUGUCAGACUGUGCAAAUGGGUGGACAUGCCUUGCAUCCUAUCAAUGGUGGACUUACCAUUGCGUCGCCUGCCCCGCCGCUCCAUCUCCUCGAGCUUCAUGCGGGCCUCAAGGCGGAGCUGCGCGGUGGACGUCUCACCGGCCACGGCGGUCACGAGGCGCUCAAGGUCACGCACGGCGCAGCGCUGCAUGGGGGACGCGGUCGUCGUCCUCGUCCAUCGCCCCCACCCUCCGCGGCGCUGCCGCGUCCACCUCGCCCCCAUGCUUGCCUGCAGCCCUGUCCUGGAAAUCCUCUCACUCACUUUAAGCAGGUAUCCCAAAGGCUUCUGCCUCCAUGGCAAUAGCCUCUGGUGCUACUCUAAAGCAAUUUGAUUCGAUCUACGUGCGCGAGUGACUUGAGAAUUCAUGGUCAGCAUUCCAUUGCAGGCUUAGACAAAAGGCGAGCUCAAAUUCCAUUGUCCCAAGCAUCAAAAUGAAUUUCGGCAUCUUCACGGAUGUCAAUUUACUUUCUAGCUUCCACGGAUGCUUUUGAUAGUAGACAGGAGAGCCGCGGGUGCUAGCAAAGGAGGAGGGGGCCGCAGACGCUAGCCGCGGCGAUGGGGUCCUCCGCGGUCCGCCGCGGACCCUCACGCACCUCCACGCUCCGCCCUGGGCUGCCGCGCGCCUCCGAAGGCUGCCGCAGGCCUCCGCUCGUCCCGCGCCUCGAAGCUCCGGCGCUGCCGCAGUCCCCGCACGUCGGUUGCCGCUACGGCCUCCGCGCGUUGAAUGAGGUAAAAAAUAAGCGGCUGGUGGUCACCGCAACCAGCGAUUCGAGCCUGCACCGCGUGGAACCAUCAAUCCACGCGAUCGAUUUGUGCGUUCCAUCCGAUGGAAGAUGGCAAGCGGCCUGUUCGCUUCAGCUUAUUCAGUCGGCUUAUCAGCCACCAAACAGUAUUUUUCUCUCACAAUAAAUCAGUCGUUUCAGCUUUUCAGCCAGCUUAUAAGCUGAAGCGAACAUGCCACCUCUUUUGCACCUCAUCAGCCUGGCCUGUGACCUCGUUCACUCUACCAAUGAGGCCAACUUGCACCACUCCAGCCUGCCUGGCCAACCUCCAUGCACCCUACCAAUCGUGCAUAAAGGAAGCAGCUAAGAUAUAUUUUGUACAUAGCGGACGAUGUAGAUACGAUCUUAAUUACUCGCACAUCGAAAUAAAAUGGUUAUAUCUUGUCUGUUAAUUAAUACAAGUUCGGCAAUCUUAGCCGGCACCAAAGCAAUCAUGCACGGCAGGGCAUUGACCCCCGUGCAAUCAUUCGUGUCCAGAUGCUCAUGCGGCCAUGGGAUGGGGGAGGUUCGGAGCCCCUGCUCGAAUGUCCUCCUCGAUUGGACGGUCGACAGCGACGCAACCACGGACGGGCACGGGCGCGGCGACGUUACGAUAUGCAUUGCAUGCAUCCGAUCGGGCCAAGUUACACACACAUGCGCAUGGUUGCGUUGCGUCGUGGCGUUGCCGGAUGAGAGGAGGACCAGCGAGGGCUGCUGCAUGCAGUGUACUGCUCCUACCGUUCGCUCUCAACACGUACGUACGUACGUCGAGAAACCCCGGCCCCGGGCAUGCGAUUUCAAGUAGUAGUGGGGAGAGACGCAUGGUCCUGGUCGGUCCCCAUCCAUCGGUAGCCAUCGCUUUUCUGUCCUCGUCCGGGCCGCUCCGGGGCCACGGGCCUACAUGUACACGCGUGGAACAAACGAGUAUUGAACCGGCUCGGCUGGGGCGGGCCUACGUGUAUGUACGCGCGUGACGUCUACGUCGUCGCUACAUGUACGCGCGCGACGCCCGCAGCGUAUACGGUUGAUGAGGCCAAUCAUCGAGACAGUAACCCCCUUUCUAGUAGUACCUACUGCUUUUUUUCUCGCCGCACGGCUUCGGGCCAUCGUCAAUGUUUUUUUUUUUUGGAGAAAGGAUGCUGACAUGCUGUUAGCCUGUUUUAUGACCUGGAAUGAGGCUUUUAAUUCCUUUUCCUUUUUCUUUACCAAAGGGUUCAUUCCUUGGCCAUCUCCGGAAAAAGACGGUUGGUGGAGGAGUUUUUGUAGGAUUUUGUUUCCUACAUUAAUUUGCAUCAACGAAAUAACGGGAGUCGCGUAACCCACCUUAACCAUUUUUAUAAAAAAAGAAAACAUCUUGCGGUUGAGCUCAAGCUCACUGCAAAGAAGCGAACAAUGAUUUGUUUCUCUAUGCUCGUUUCACGGAGCUUGUCGUAUACAUUUGGUGACACAAAUUUAUUAUAAGGAGAGUGACGAGGCUUUGUGAGAUUUUCUGAAGCAUUUAGUUCGAAGAAGAAAAAAAAAAGAAUCUCAGCAGGAGAGCGAGAGCCUGAGGUGCCUACUGAUUUUGGAGGUGUUAGAAAGAAAAAAAAAAGAAAACCUAACCUUGUGGUAGAAACAUUUUCGAUAUAAAAUGCAAGCCAGGUUGGUUGACAAGCGGUCAUUUUCUUAUUGUUAGAAAAAGUUGAGCGAUGACCGAUGAAGCAGGAGCGAAGGACAGCAUGAGAUGGGAGUGAUGGACGGAACUACGGAAGGCAGUGUCCGGGCGGGCGGGGGUCCGGGCGGGCGCAGGGACCACCCAUGGGCGCAUGGGCAUGGGUGGGACUUUGGGCUUGGGAUUGGGAGCACGGAGCACCACUGGUCGGGUCAAUUACAAAGGCGAUCGAUGGAACGACCGAGCGAGCUCCCGAGAGGAAAAAGGAAGUGCUAGCUUGGUGGUGUGUUUUGUUGGUCCUGCUGGUCCCCCAGCAAGGCAGCGGUGGUGGGACUCGUUCGUGGCGGUGGCACGUACUGCCACCGGGCCCAAUCAUGCGGUGUGGCGCAGGCCGUGCCAUGCCAUGGCACACUCUCCCUGUACGUUGCCGCUGCGACGCAUAUGCCCCAGCUACCACCCCCUGGCCUGCAGCACUGCACACCCCUCUCUCCUCCUGUGCCGCUGUGCGUGUCCAUGCUCGUGUGCCCCAUGCGCGCGUGACGUACGUUGCGCGGGGCGGGGGCGGUGCACGGCACGAUCGCGGCCCACGGACGCUGACUCUUCUUUCCCUCCACUCUCGUCGCCCAUGCCUGUCGUCUCUCUGUCACGUAUCAUCAAAUCAGGUCAGAGGAGACGAGGAGUGCUCUGCUCUCACUGCUCUUGUGUGGCGUCGCAGGGGACGCUCUGCAGCUGCAGAGGUGGUCGCGGCCUGCAGGCCCAACUGGCUGGCUCGGCGCCUCGGCCCCCUCCUCCUCUCUGGGACGCGUCCCAUCCGGGGCAGGAAAACCGCCCUUCCGGCUUUCAAUGCUCCACGCGCCGGGCGCCGUCCUUGUUCCGGGCCUCCGCCACCACCUCCACGCUACCCGCAGCCGCGUGUGCUCUUGUUAGAGGGAGGCCCGGCAAAAGCCGUCGCCGCCCCCGCCGGCCGGGGCCCCAGGCCUUGCUUUGCUUUGAUACCCUCUGCCCUGCCCCGGAGAGGAUCAGGAUCCCUGUCUGUCCCACAGUGCAAGCUCGGCAUGUUUCAAGGAUUGCUAGGAUGUGAGGUGAAGGUAGCAUGGUCUGGUCUCUAUGCCUGCAUUUGAGCACAGGAGGUGAAGGGCCCGUUCCCUCUGGUCAUUUCACCCACUCGGUGUCUCGGUCACAGCCCAAAGAUGACAACAAAAGCCGGAUACGUCUGCCACCCGCGACCAAAUCAUCGCUUACGGGCAGUGAGUGCGAUACUGCAAAUCCUGUGCCACGGGUCGCUUUGCAACAGCACUUGUCACCGGGAUCAUUCAUUUCACGGCAGGCCAAGGCACGAAAUAGUGGAGGCAAAUCCAUCUGGUGUCAUGCGGGACGGGGCCGUAACUCAAGAGCAGCCCCAGCUACUGGGGAGGAGCCUCAUCCAAGCAUCACCGGGCAGCAACGGCACCGAAGGGCGAAAAGGGUGGCAACACUUUUGCAUUCACAAGUCCAAUCAAUUACCCAACCAAAACUCGGAACGCCACGCCUCGGUGCAGGCCUUCCUCUAUCACCUUGCCUCGAUGCAAGAUCCGAGUCCAAAUCACUCACACACAGACACAGGCUCCGCGCAUGGGUCGCCAGGACAAAACACAGCCGAAUGCAACGUAGAUGCUCAAGGUCUCUGGAAACGGGCCGUGGCCCAGCACGCAAGCGAAGCAUCAUGCUACAAGUUCAGGGUUUCAACAGACUGAAACAAGCUUCCAACACCGAGCGUACACGGGACAGGGGUUCUUCGCGUCAGAUGACACUAGCAGCACACACUAUCAGUAAGCUGGACACACACUUUCUAGCAAUACAACACUGCCCCGAAGGGCUAACUAAGUUCAAUAAGUUUGGUCCAGCAAACAGAGCCAGUACAAUGUAGGCACGGACUGACUGCAUCCAUCCAAUAGAUGCAAACCAGAUGAUGCGCAAUCAGUCACUGCGGGCAGGUGACUCGGCGGACCUGGAGCGGGAUCCAGGAGGUGAGCCUGAGUACUCCUUGGGAGACCUCCGAUGCGGAGGGGAUCCAUCGCUGUCAGGUGGGGGCGACCUCCUGUGAACACAGACGCUAUUGUUAGGGAUUUUUAAGAGCUUUCACUACAGGACUAGAGCAGGAUGGCUGGUAAUCUCGAUUUCUAUGGACAGACGAAGGCUGGUUUAUGCGGUAGUGAUGAAGAACUAACUUCUCAUAACCAUUUUCAGCAUCAUCUCUACUGGCAGGGGAAUAGGAUCUCCGCUUCUUAUCUUCAUCAAGCUCCUUUGGCGGGCGCCUGGGAGGAGACACGCGAUGUGCCUCCUUUCUCCUUGGAGAAGCAGAGUAGUCAUCUCGGCGUCUUGGAGCAGGGGAGUACGAUCUGAUUUUAAAAGAAAGAUAAGUAAACAAAAACAAGAAUGAUAAGUAAAAAGAAAGAAAGAUAAGUAAACACAAAAAUAAGGAGUUAAGGUUUCAUGGAUCAAAGUCGGGCUUUUAGAGAAGCCUUUAUGUCAGCUGAGCAUACCUUGACCGAGGGCGACCCCGGUAGCGAGGAGAGCGGGAACGGGAACGAGACCGCCCUAUAUGAAAGAUGAGAGACUAUCAGUAAUUUGGUACUUCAAAAGGAAUUUGCAGACUUGAAUUUUCACAAAAGUUCAUCGCAAACUGAAGACAAUCCUGAGAUGCUAUUCUCAGAUUUAAAAGGUAUUUAAGCUUAUGCAUGCAUGGUGGAAAAAAAAACUGAGCUCAUACAUCAUCAUAAGCAGCAAUGGAUCUAGAAAUUUAUGGGUAGGAUGCAAACAUAUUGGUCCUCUGGUUUACAGUGAUGUUUGAUAGGCACUUGGUAGUGGUCAUGAUUGUACCAGAAGAGUAACGAGCAAAAUAUAUAAACGAUAUGAUGCUAUAUUAAUGAGAUGCACAAAAAAAGGUGUAAGAUGGGUAAAUAAAACCAAUAUUGUCCCAACCAAUCAUGCCCCUCUUUUGAAAGAGAGUAAAUCCUUUUUUUUACGUAAAAGAGGGCUAAUCCUACCAGAAUAAAAAACUUAAAAGGCAUAAAGAGGCUUCACAGUAAGUCCUUAAAAUUCUACCUAAUUACAAAACUUCCAACUUGAGAUGAUAACCAAUGCCUCAAGAUACAAGGAAUAAAUUUUUAACUUUGGGGCAACACAACCCCCUUCUACAGCUGCCACUGAUCAAUGACACAACAGAUAUGGUGCAAUCUUCCUCACAUAAUUGAAUAGAAUGAGAGGAUCCAGGAUUAUGUACAGCUUGAAAGUCACAGGAUCAUGAAUGAUACAAAACUAGCACAGCAAUGCAAGAAAUUACCAUAAUAAGAAGAGCGGCGACCUUCAUGACCAGAGUAGCCCCUGACAGAAAUCAGUCAUUAAAAUGAGAACAUAAAUAGGAAAUGAGGAAGAAAAUUAACUGCAAUAAAAGAAAACCACACCUGACUCUAGCCCUGCUACGCAUUUCUUCUGGCCUUUUUCGUGACUCAGCAGCAAGAACAACAGUUAUCUCCCGACCGAAGAAAACCUGGCGAUUCAUGUGAUACUGGGCCUCAGAGGCAUCAUAAGGGUCAACAAACUCCACAAAUGCAAAUCCUCGAGGCUCCCUGCAUACAUUGAUUUUAUUAGACAGUAGGAUAAGGGAAAUUCAUGAAAAUGACAAACAAAUAUGAGGGGGUGCAAAGUGUUCACAAUGGUGUCUUCCGGCCGUGUUACCAUCAAAAAUUUAGUGUGCCCUCUAUGGUUUUCAGUGAAGCACGGUCAAUAACUUACUAACAAUUCCAUCAAAAGGGAAGCACGUGUUGCAAAAAGCAGUUAGACGUCCAGGCUCUAGUGUCCAAAAUUCUUGUAUACAACUACAUAUGGUGAUCCUCAUAAAGAGCAUCUUCAUAAAAUCAUUCUCUUCAAGUUCCCCAAUGUUUGAAAAGUCACAAAAGUACUUGAAAUCAACUUGACUUGCUUUUAUCUUCUCAUAUGUACCCAGCCAGUACAUAUCUCUUAUCUUCACUUCAGGAAAUUAAUUUUCUCAAUGUAUCAAAUCUUGUCUUCAUAGAAGAACUUCAUCGGACAAGACUCUAUCUUGCCAAGCAAAUCAAUUGUUAGUAAGGCUAAAAGGCAUUCUUUGAUAAAAGAGGAGCUUGUAUUUACUUCAAGGUUCAAACCAACACAACCCUGGGAAUCAUUUGGGGGAAAAAAGGUAAUUCACACAGGGCAAGGAUGAAUGGAUACACAGGAUAAAUUUAUGCAUUAUAUUUGAUAUAUAAUGACCGAUGGCAUACAUCAGCAGAAAAAAGAAAAAUAACAGGAGCAUUUCACAUCGCACCAAAAUAUUGGAAAGUUGACAAUGCACUGGGCCUUGAGGAUGCUCAAGUGUUCACUUUAUUAAAUAUAGGUUAUUUAUUGGUCUAAGUCAUGCCCCUAGAAAAUAGUUUCUAUGUUCAUGCAGCCCAAAAAGUAGGAAAGGCGUCCAGCUAUUUUCAGUUCCAAUCAUUGCAGAAACAAGACCACUUCAAGAUUAGAUAUUUAUAGCACUUACCCACUAUAAUAAUCCUUUGGAAUGUAGACAUCCCGGACAGGACCAAACCUUUCAAAAGGAACUCGAAGAUCCUCCGCUCUGUAAAAGUUUUAGAAACAAACUGAAAUCAACUACUCGUGAAAAGAAUUGUAUUGGUAUCUCCUUUUAUCUUGAAAUCAGUUAAACAAUGGAAAUCAGUUAUUAUUUUAAGGGGAAUAGGAAAUCAGUACAUGCUAAAUCACAUGCAAAGUUUCUGUACCUGACACUUAAUGGAAUAUUGCGGACCAAAAGACUCCCAGAACCCUCCUUCCGCCCUCCUCCAUAUCCCCUCCUAGGAGGGGGGCUUCUUCCUCUGCCACCAUAUCCCCUCCUAGGGGGACUGCGAUACGGGGGGCUGUACCUCCUCAUAGUUGUCUGCAGUUGAACAAAAGUAUAACGAAUUAUUAACAACUUGAUAAGUUGACAUGACGACCAAUUGAGGAGAAUCAUAGACUUAUCUACGUUUCAUUUAAAGUGUCGCGUGCUACAAAAGCAUGUGUGACCCUGCAGGGUUCACCAGUUAGUCGGUUUCUGACUCAGGUGCCAGGGUCGGAUUUGGCAAGUAUUUAGAACACGAGAAAAGUGGAAUCCAACACUGGUGAUGGGUGUCUACCUCAGCAAAAAACAUGUGUGUCCAGGUAACACUGGCAUUCAGACCACCAACAUAUAAACUGUUCACUACCACUCAACCUUUGAGCAAUAGCCACUCAAACAAGUUUGAUGCACAAUUCAUCAGAUGUGAAUAAUAGAUUCGUACAGCUCUGCUAAUUCAUAGGUGACGUGGAAUAGAAAAGAUCAGCCGAAUCCUAGGUCACAAAAUGAGCCAAGCAGCUGACCGUUAUUUCCGUAGAAAUUGACAUGCAUGCUUAUUGCUUCUUUCGGUGGAAACGGAACCAAAAUUAACUAAUGGAGGUGCGGUGUUUUCUUUUUACUUCUAUAAAAACCAAGGUUGUGGAUUAGGGCAUCUGUGCAAUGAUUUGUGUCUAACAUGCGUGUGGCUAACAACGCAUAGAUGCCUUUCCAUCUUGUACUGUGUAAAUCAACCAUUACAACCUAGAACUUGAUAUUUAUUGGAAGUCCGUUGCACCGCACAUGCAAACUACUAGCCAUUAUUAAGGUAUAUAGUUCCAGUUCAGAAUAAUUAAAAGAAUAGAGCCCUACAGAUACAAAACACAAUCCAACAAUCCUCACGCACUGCCCAAGACAACACAAGCGGCCACAGCCCGCACGCUCCUCAAGGCAUUAACGCAUCUACAAGGCUAAAGCUCCGCAGAGUAACCCGAGAACGUCGCCGCGCGGGCUCGACCCGUCCCGGCGGGAAUCGAGAUCUAAGUAAGACACCCAGCAGCGAACCAUCACGGUACGCCAUCGCGCACCUAGUAGACGGCUCCUCGCGGAGGAGCUGGUGGAAAAAACCGCUGAGCCCUGCGCGGAUCUAAGCUGAAAGAGCGAGCCUACCGCUGCGCGGCGCACCUAGGGUUCGCGGUGGAGAAACGCCGCACGAGCGCGCUCGGUUACGGACGACGGUAAGCGUGCGGAGAGAGGAGAGGGACGGCGAAGGGGGUUGAGCGGUUACCAGGUGCGUCCGGUGAGAGCCGGGGAGCCGCCGCCGCGGCGGCGGAGAACGAGAGCGAGAGCCGAGAGGUGGUGGGCGCAAGCGAUGUCGCGCGAUGCGAGUGGAGGAAGAGGAAAGCUCGGAGCGCGACGUGGAGGGAGAGGAGAAAGAGAGGGGGUAGGCUAUGGGCCGGGCCUUUUUGACGAGAGAGCGCUAUACUUGAAGCUUGGCUAUGGGCUAGGCCUCUUUGACGGCAGGCUAUGGGCCGGAGCCCACUCCAAGCUAAAAAUGGGCUUCGAAUUUUUUUUUAAAAAAAAUGCGCGCGCGCACAAAAAAGAUCCUAGUCGCAGAAAAAAAAGACGCUAUGACGCUUAAUUUGAACCAUGUUUUCUGUAAAAAAACUAAACAAACGCGAAAUUAUGUUAUGGAAUUGUGUUCUUAUUUUCAAAAAUUAGGUACUUAUAGAUAUGUAUGCAUACUCUGCAACUGUACCCUACCCUAUGAGUGUAUACGAGAUUUUUUUUAAUCACACGGUACAAACGCAGACACUCACAUACACGCACGCACACUCGCGCCUACAAACACAUGCACGCAACCCUACCCUAUGAGCACCUCCGAAAGACUGACCCUGCAAAGUCUCGAGAUUGACGAAGUCGCCACUGGCGCUUUGCUGUCGACGGACACGUCACCUACCAUUGAAAGAAUAGCGCCGGUUAAAUCCUAAAAUAAAUCUAGAAAAAUCCGAAUACAAGUGCCGAGUCGAUGACUUGAACAUUAGUGUGCAGAUUGCACCACAAGCAACCUUAUUACCAGUUGAGCUACACUCAAUUUAUUACAGCAUAUACGAGAAAUUGAACACGCAAAUCUUGAACUUAAUAAAAUCACCUCAGGUAAAUCUAUUAUGUCAUAAAUGAGAGCCGCCGUGUUGAGUUGUGGACUGUUUGACUUGGGCAUGCCGUGGUCAGUGACACAAAAAAAAUAUCAGUUCUCCGGCCAAAAUUAAGCCUCAAAAAAUCUCUUUUCUUAACUUGCCACGUAAGGGCAUCAAGCUGACUAGCUGAGCAACGUCUAAAUUAACACCCUCGAACGUCGCCUUGAUCUUCAUCCAAACAGGCAUACAGCGUAUACACGUUGCUCCCAACUCACCGCAGUGUGCUCCGAUAGAGUAGCUAUUAGCUGAAGUGUGUGUUUGGUUGGUGGUUACAUAAAUGACACGGUGGGUUUAUCCUUCUUAGUAAAAAAAUAAUGUUAAGCGGGAUGGCUUCAUUCUAGAUGACGGUAUAAUUCAUCCAAUCAAAUAAAGAGAGUCAUUAUCUACUUGAAGCAUUUCAUACAAAAAUUAAAUAAUACAUAUUCCAUCCAUUUCAAAUUGUAGGUUAUUUUGACUUUUCUAGAUUCAUAAAUAUUAUUAUGCACUUAGACAUACGCUAUAUCUAAAUGCACCUAAAAGCUAAAACGAUAUGUAAUUAUAUCUAAAUGCACCUAAAAGCUAAAACGAUAUGUAAUUUGGAACGGAGAGACUGUAAUUUGGAACGGAGAGAGUACAACCAAACGCAUAACACACCGGAUCGCCGAGGGUACGAUGGAGGCCCCAUCCAUGUACGUGCAGGAGACUGAACACUUCGUUUAUUCGUAACACAUCACCUCCAGGCCGGAUGGGCCGACGGCGGCGACGCCGGCCGGGCGGUCGUCAGUGGGGGCAGUGGUCCUUGUACGUGCAACCCCGGGUGUAGGACCCUCCUCCCUGGGCGGCGCACUGGUUGCCGCUCUGGCAUCCCGGCCUGUCCUUCUCGAGGGCACCGUAACCGAUGCUGCCGCCGCCGUCGCCCGCCCCCAGCCUCAUCAGGCCGCGCAACUCCGGCUCCGGUGCCACCUCGUCCUCCAGGAGCUGGUCGUAGCGCCGCUUGUCGUUAGCACGAGCACCGGCCGCGACGCUGCCGCCGCCGGCCCUUAGCCCGGCGCCGCGGCGGAUGAUGACCAUCCUGGCACCGCUGUGCUGGCCGCUGGCAGUGGCCGGCCCGGCGGAUGCGGCGAGGAGGAGGAAGAGGACGGCGGCCAGGGGUAAGCUGGUAGCUGCCAUCGCGCAACUACCGAAUCGGUUUCUCUCUGGUCAGGAUGGUCAGUCACCUAUCGGCUUCCUGGCUACUAGCUUAGGUAUUUUGUAGCUGGGCAAAGCUGAAGAAGUAUGCAGUGCGCAAUCAUCUGGGGACAAAAUUCCUUAAAGUUAACGGGAAUGUGUAGGCACGCACUUCGUACAGAGUACAAAUCAUAAAGGAUUAAAAUGGGUUGAAAGUUGAAACAUGGUGGGCGUCCCAAUUUAGGUGCACGCCUGAACUCCAUCUCGAACGUCCUAUUCCAAAAAGAAAAAUUGAAGAAUAGAAGGGAGAUAACAGUAUCUGACGGAUCUAAAGAGUUAAAGACCACCCCAAUCUGCUUGUCCCUCCGCAACUCACGGGACGCGUGGCGGCACGGGAGGACGCGAGAGAAGCCUUGCCGCUGCGGGAGGAGAUGGGGUGCUGGUAGGUGAGCCGUGUGUCGUCCGUGGAUGGAGUGCCCUGCUGUCGAUUGAUCCGAGCCGGACCCUCCUCCCGCCGUCGGAAUAGCGCGCGUGGCGCCUGGUAUUUUUCGCAAAUAUGUCACUAUGCUCGAGUUUGAUAGAUUUCACAUGGACUACAGAUUGAAUGAAGUGAAUCCAUUCACUUGCUAUGGCAGGCUAAGCGAUCAGAUAGAUGUUGAUUUUUACUCGACAGUUGAAGGAUCUAGGCUAAAGUUCAUAGCUGACCACCAAAAAGAGCUGAGAUACGAGUCUGUUCAGGGAAUAGCCGAUGCGAUUGAUAAGGGUUUUACCGAUGCGGAUUCUGUUGGCGGUAGAGUUGUUGUGCCUGCCAGUUUUACUGGCGGGAGAAGGUAUCAUGUGAUGAACUACCAGGAUGCAAUGGCCAUAUGCGGAGUCUUUGGCGCUCCUGAUCUUUUUGUAACCUUUACAUGCAACACUAAGUGGAAAGAAAUUGCGGAUGCUCUGCGAUAUGAGCCAGGCCAACAGCCUUCUGAUCGAUCUGAUUUGAUUGUAUGAUUUUUCCAUAUGAAGGUCGACGAAUUCAUGGAUGAUAUCAGGGAGGGUAAGCUGUUUGGUGAGACAUAGUAUAGGAUAACAGUGCAUGUUGCUGUUCUUUCUUUGUUGUUAGUAUGUCUCAUCUGUGCUAUUGCUUGUGCAGUUUUGUACACUGUAGAGUUCCAAAAACGUGGCUUGCCCCAUAUACACUGCCUUGUGUGGUUGGCCGAUGCACGUUCAGAGUUUAGUGCGUCCACUAUUGAUGGUUUUAUCUGUGCUGAAAUCCCAGACAUAAACGUUGACCCGCUAGGUUAUGCUUUGGUCGAUGAGUUUAUGAUGCACGGCCCAUGUGGUGAUGCCAACAAAAAAUGCCCGUGCAUGAAAGAAAACAAGUGUUCCAAGAAUUUUCCUAAAUCAUUCCAGGAUGAAACAAUCGUAGACGACUUCGGUUUUACUAUCUACAGACGUAGGAACGAUGGUAGGCAUUUUGUCAAGAAUGUCAGGCUAGAUAACAGAAACGUUGUUCCAUAUAACAUGAAGAUUCUUAAAAAAGUACAUCAAUGUUGACUGGUGUAAUAAAUCCAACAUGAUCAAACACCUGUUUAAAUACGUUACAAAGGGAAGGGAUAGAGCAAAGAUUUACUUUGAGGUUACUGCAAAGACAUCUAAUGCAUCUGCUGGACCUCAGAUGGCUCCACGGAAUGAAAUCCAAGAAUACAUUGAUGCUAGGUUUCUAUCUUCCUGCGAGGCUCUAUGGCGUGCAUUUGAAUUUGAUAUUCACUAUAGAAUGCCUCCAGUAGAGCGAUUGUGUGCUCAUCUUCCAGGGAUGAAUCAUGUGCGAUAUGAGCCGUAGAGGCGUUGCUUGCUAGCCCAGCAGCAAAAAGCACUAUGCUGACUGCAUGGUUCCAUGCGAAUGCGAAACACGAGGAUGCUAGGCACUUGACAUACUGCCAUUUUCCAAAAAAAUGGACUUGGGCCGCUUCUGACCGCUGCUGGCAGAAAAGGGUGCCUUGCGCUAAGAUUGGACGGAUGUACUAUGUGCAUCCAAUUGCUGGCGAGCUUUAUUACCUGCGCAUGCUAUUGAUGAUCGUUAAAGGUGCAACGAACUAUGCUGAUGUGAGAACUUUCAACAAUAGGGUGUACAAAACGUUUCGAGAUGCAUGUGAGGCAAGAGGUUUGCUUGAGAGUGAUGAUGAAUGGAACCUUCUGUUUGAUGAGGCCAUAGUGUCUGCAUCAUCACAUCAGCUUAGACAUCUAUUUGUCACCGUCGUGCUUUUCUGUUCUGUAAGUGAUGUCCGUGCUUUGUUUGAUAAGUACUGGCUUUACUUUACAGAUGACAUACACAAAGGGCUAAGAAAUGCACUUGGGAACCCACACUACAUUGACCGGUUCAGGCAGUGCAUAAAGGAAGGAAAUGUCUACAACUUCUUCUAUUUCCGAGUCAAGAACUCCAGUGACAACUACAAACCAGUUGAAAAUGAUAACAUGCUUAUAUUUUCACAAUGGACAAAGAUAGAGGAGGGUUGUUAACGUGCCCCCUGCUUUCCCGGUCUAUGCCUAUUCCAUUGCUACCAUGGAGCAGUUACAAGCACGUCUGGACAGUAAGGUUCUCUUCACAGGUCAUAAACAUUCUUACUACCUUACAAGUGUGCUUAGAACUGUCAGACAAUAGCUUAUGCGCUGUUAUUCCUUAAAAUAGAUGUGAUUGGGGUGAUCACUUCUGUUUCAAAUGCUGGGACAAUGCGAGCAAAAGUAAGGCCGGGUGAGAGCUUGAAGAGGGCCAUAACUAUACGCCUCCCAAGGUUAGCUGUGUAUAGUUGCCAUCCAUAAUGUUCUUUAUGCCUAUAACUGUUUGCUAGACUGCACACUAAAAUUUGCUUUCACUUGUGUUACAGUGGUACUCUGUUGGAUGUUAUGCUCUGGUCAGAGCGGGCCACUUCGUUCCCAGCCGAGGACGUACACAGGGAUGGGCAGACUUCUCCACAGGUGGUGAUCUUUGUUGGUACUCUUGUCAAAAGCUUCGGAUGUAUGUCGCUAUCUGGUGGUUCAUCAUGCAAGUGGUACAUGAACCCUGACGUCCCUGAGGCAAAGAAACUUAUGGCCAGGUAACAGGUCCAUCUAAGAAUUAGCUGACUGCAUGCGCUGUACCUUUCUGAUCUUUGUACUCUUUCUAAGAAAAAUGACCUCUUCUCCCUUUCCUGGACAGUGCAAAGACUAUGCAAGGUACUGUUCUUAUUGCAGCAUAUCAUGCAUGUGAUGCACCACUGAUAGGCUGAUCCUUACCUAUGUUUGCUUCUCUGCAGAAAAAUGAGUUUUUGGUUACAGUGACAGUAAAAAAGAUUGACAAUUUAUGGUGGUACAAUGCAUGAAAAAAAUGUAUGAAGACAGCUAAGCGUCAUGGUGAUUCAUACAAGUGCACUAAUCCUAGCUGUGGCACCAUUGGAAUGCCCGCUCAGAGGUCACUCGCUAACUGUUGCUGUUGAUUUCUUCCUCAGCAUAUGGUUUUUGUUGUAUUUUCUAAACCAUAAAUUCAUGUAGGUUCAAGUUAUCCAUACUUGCCGGAGAUGAGACGGGUGACACGGAUUUCAUUCUGUUUGGACGGCAAGCUCAGCGACUCACAAAAAAGGCAGCUGAUACCCUUGUUGCUGAUAACCCAAGUAAUUUUAUCCCGGAUGAGAUUACCAGGCUUCUUGAGAAGACUUUCAUAUGGAGUGUCAGCUUUACAGAUAAGAUAGCACAACAGACUCAGGCAAUAUUACCUUUCAAGUUAAUGCAGUGGUGGGAGAAAUCAAUGAUGGAGUGCUGUUAUUCCAGCAACACCAGAGGGAUCACAGACAUCAUCUCUCAUGCUCUCAAGAGGUGCAGGCACCAGCAUGCAGAACACUCCUCAAGGAAGUCAUGUACUGCCUCUAUCCUCCAUGCCUGCUACUUCGGAAGCAAGCCUCGCCUCAAGCACCACACCAACAAAAACAGCUUGGCCUGUUUUGGAGCCACCAGAGACCCCACAGAGUGUAAGGGCCAGUGCUCAUGAUCAGGUAUUACUCCUUGUUGUUCCAGUUAUACCUAGGCAUUGCAUGUUAGGUGCAGCUAUGGUGUGUGGAUAGAUUCCAAUCUGUAGUGUCGCAUUUAUGUUCGCAUCAUUAUUGAACUAGGUACUCAAGACAUCACUGAGUUACACGUCAGAGUAUGUAGGAACUAAUUAUUCCUGCUAAAGAGUUGGCUUCUGUACAAUUAAUUCCUGCUUGUGGUGUUUCUUUCCGCAGGACAAAACUUUAGCUUCACCUGCAGAUCCACCUGUUGGUUCUUCUACAAAGACACAGAAAGCACCACAAAGGAUCGGAAAGGUUACUCCCGCCGGCAACCUAUUUUACUGUUUCUUUAACUUGGUUACUAAGCACGGGACUUAUGUCUGAAAUUACAGGCCUCGCCCAUCCCCUAACAAAAAAAUUGCUAAGAAGCUAUUCACUGGUGGAGAGCCUGCAGAUGACAGUGCUGAAAGUGACAGCGGCGCAGCCACCGCUGAUCAGGAGAGGUAACUCCAUGCGGCAUUUUACCUUCCUUGCACAGCAUCCAGUUGUAGCUCAUGUUCAGGAUAGCACAUCAUUUGAUUAUUACUGUUACAUCUUCAAGUGACAUGCUACAAAAAAAUUAUUAUCCUUUUGCAGCCCGAGCAAGGAUGCAUGAGCAGUGGAGCUCAUGCCCAUUUUGCGUCUACCAGUUGCAGCCAUCUUUUGUUUGUGCUUCGUCAGCCAGCUUUUGUUUGUGUUUCGUGUCCAGUAAAAAGUCUGAUGCAUGAGUUUCAGCAUCUGCAUAGACUUGUGGCUGCAAACUGUGUAGCAUAGCCAUUAGAUGUUGUUUCCAGUGCCGAUCUCGAUUAGUAUUCGAAGCUACCAACUAAGCUGUUUGGUAGCUGUGGAUACUGAUUGUGGCAUGUCGAUCUUGCUGCUUGGAUGUGCUGUGUUAUCGCUGUUCAUAAUAUCGGACAGACACCUUGAUGCGUUGGGUAGGACAGACUGGUGCUCAGAUGUGUUGUAAUAUUAAUCUUCCAGAUGUCGAACAGACACCUUUGGUGUUUGGAUGUGCUGUAAUGUUUAUGUUCCAUAUGCCGGACAGACAUCUCAUUCAUAGGGUAGAUUGGUGCCCUGGUGUUUGGAUGUGCUGUAAUGUUCAUGUUCCAUAUGCCGGACAGAUAUCUCAUUCAUAGGGUAGAUUGGUGCCCGGAUGUGCUGUAAUAUUCAUGUUCCAAAUGCCGGAUGUACACCUCAGAUUGAUAGGAUAUGUUGAUCCUGGAACUAUCGAUGAUGUGUGCUCGGAUGUGCUGUAUUAUUUAUGAUCCAAAUGCCAGACAGACAUCUUUAAUGAAUUUGUUAGCACAUGCUGUGAUUUCGUUCUCAGUUUCAUGUAUCGGUUGUUUGUUAGUUUUCAUUGUCUUAUAAUAACUUGUAUUUGAUUGAUUACCCGAUAGGGCGCGUAACGCGGGCCGAAUGUUCUAGUCCCAAUCGGCAGCGAGUCGCUGACGCUAGACUUGGAGGCUGGAGACCGGACCAGGGGCGGCGCCUGGAUCAUGUCCUGGCCGCGCAGCCGUUCGCCGGGCAGCCGGGGCGCGGGUGCCUAGCGAGGUUGCGAGCGGGCGGGCGCCAGGUAUCUGGCGGUGCACGCCCGAGUCUCGAGACAUGCAGCUAGUAGCUUACUUCAUCAGCCACGCCUACCUGACGACAAAGGCCAUCUUCGGUGGUCAUCAGUGGCGGUGGCGCAGGCCGAGUGGAGUGGAUGGUGCUCAUUGCACCACAGUACCGUUGAAGAAUCUGCGGGCUGCACUUGAACUACCAAGGCCACUCGUGCGACCAAAAGGGGGAAAACGUUGGUAUGCUGCCUAGCACUAGCAGCAUAGCUUCACUACAGUGCGGAUGCUUUAUUCUUAACAAAAAAGAAACUAAGUUAACUAAACUUUAAUUACGCAGUCGUUCAGUGAUAAGUUGAUAAUUAAGCUGACAGGCCAGUGGCCAGUAGCUGGGCACUCAGACAAUCAUCAGAGUUUGAGUUUCACACCCGUUUUAUUCAUGCAACUGCAGCACACACUCUUACACGAACGCACUCUCAGCUCGACGCCAUCGGUCGUCAUCUCCCCGGCCGGCCGCCGCUCGUGGGUCGUGGCAUACACGCGCGCCGGCCGGUCACCCGCGGCAUUGCUCCCUGUACGUGCACGGCCGGGUGUAGGGCGCUCCCUUGCCGGCGCAUCGGUCGCCGCACGCCGCCCUGUCCUUUUCCAGCGCCUCGUAGGAGAUCUGGCCCUGGCCCGCCCCCAGCGCCGCCAGCAGGCCGCCGCCGCCGAACUCCGGCGCCACCUCGUCCUCCAGUCGCCGGCCGUGCCACUUGCUGCUACGAUCAAGGGAGCCCGCGGCGGCGACCCUUGUCCCGGGGGCGCGGAUGACGAUGGCCAUCCUGCCGCCGCCGUGCUUGUCAGCGGCGGCCGGACCGGCCGACGCGGCGAGCAGGAGGGCGGUGGCAAGGAGGAGGAGGACCGCGAGGGGCGGGCUCGCCGGCAUUGUGCACAGGUUUAAUGGUCCGUUUCGCUGAGGCCGGGCGCAUCUUAUAGACACAAGCCGAAGGGAAGCACGGCAGCAUCAUCUGGCCCCUUAAUUAAGUGUUUGACGUUUAGUCGACCUAAAAUUCAUGGCACGUCGAAUAUUCGGGAACCGAUUAGAAUAACUAAACAUUAGCUAGUUAUAAAACUAAUUACACAUAUGGAGAGAUGGAGGUUAAUUUACGAGACGAAUCUAUUAAGUCUAAUUAAUUCAUCAUUUGUACAUAUUUACUGUAGCAUCACAUUGUCAAAUCAUGGACUAAUUAGACUUAAUAGAUUCGUAUCGCAAAUUAGUCUCCAUCUAUGCAAUUGGUUUUAUAAUUAAUCUAUAUUUAAUACUCCUAGUAUUUAAACAUUCGACGACAUGAAUUUUAAGAAGGAUAUAAGAAAGACCUUAGUUUGUGCGUUAAUGGGGCCAACCCAAAAGCUAAUGACAGUGGAUUAAACUUUAAAAUAAGUUCAUUGCAUUGAGCAGCACGAGCGCACACCAAAGCACGCCUUAAGUGCCUAGUGCCUGCAGUUGCACUAGUGAUGUCCUAGGAUUACGCACGUAGUUAGUGAUCCUAAUUAUGCUGUCAUCAGUAGUAAGCCUGGCAGGGCAGUGAGUGACAAGGAUUGCAAGUGCGUCACCGCCUUUUUUAGGGGUGUUUGGGAGACAGGGGCUAAACUUUAGUCAUGUCACGUCACACAUUCGGAUGCUAAUUAGGAGGACUAAAUAUGAGCUAAUUAUAAAACUAAUAGCAGAACCCCUAGGCUAAAUCGCGAGACGAAUCUAUUAAGCCUAAUUAAUCCAUCAUUAGUGAAUGGUUACUGUAGCACCACAUUGUCAAAUCAUGAACUAAUUAGGCUUAAUAGAUUCGUCUCGCGAUUUAGCCUAGGGGUUGUGCAAUUAGUUUGUAAUUAGACUAUAUUUAAUAUCCCUAAUUAGUAUCCGAACAUCCGAUGUGACAGAGGUUAAACUUUAGCCCCUCCUUCCCAAACACCACCUAAGACACUACCGCUCAUCCAAGAUGUACGUGGCCGAUACUCUAGGUGCUAUUGCUAGUGCUUGGCUUUUCAUUCUAUUUCGCAGAGGCAAAUAGAGAUGGGGCUAUAAAUUUAAUUCCGUAUCAUGUUAUUAUAGUAUAAGACUUGGGAUUGGUCUUGGUUCAAUGUGCACUUUAACAGAAACUUAACCAUCACUGUUAGGUUUAGUCCCACAUCAGAAAUUGAUGAUAGGGAGCACAAUAUAUAUAGGUGGAGACAACCCUUACUCAUCAGGUUAGUCUUUUGUGUUGAGUUAGACCCGAGAUCUUGUUGUUGUGAGCUUUGGUGGACUUGGGUCUGGUGGGGUGCCGGCUUGGGUAUAGCGGGCCGGGCUAGAAUUCGCUGCGCACUCUAACAAGUGGUAUCAGAGCUAAAGGACAGGAAACUUGGAACAUCUCUGAGUCACAUGGUAAUGGGGAGCCCGUGAACAUCUCCGAAGGAUCACACGGGUUGUGUGUGACUGGAGAGUUGGACUCGAAGUCUGGGGAUAACUUCUUCGGGAGAUCACAUGGGGUUGUAUGUGAUGGAAGAGUUGGACCCAAUGUUCAUCAGGCUAGUCUUUAGGAUUGAGUUAGGUCUGAGGUCUUGUUUGCUGUGGGCUCUGGUGGAGUUGGGUCUAGUAGAUACCGGCUCGUGGGUAUAGCGAGCCGGGUCGAAAUCCGCUGCACACUCUAACAAUCACCAAUUUACUUUUAGACUCUUCAAAAUAGCUAAUUUAUAUUGGAACAUGUGUACAAUAAUGUCAGGCUUGUUUUCCACGUUGGUCGUUUUUUAUUUUAAACUAGUCAGUAACCAUCAGUGCCAGUCGAUAGAAAUCAGAAUCCAGUGAAUUAAUUCGAGCGGGCUUUCGUCCAGUGGGACUGUAAACAGAUGCUAUAUGGGCUCGAAGCAAGGGCAGGGCUGCAAAGAAGCUUCUUGGAUCAGCGGGCCUGUAAAGUAAAUAAUAGUUAGGAAUUCCUAACAGUUAUGGACUCAUCACGCUACACUGCCGCUGGGCCCCCAAAGCUGAGGGAGAGACCAAUCGCUCUCUGGUCGUCAGCCUGCUUAAAGAAGAGCCUGCAGAGCAUUUCCAUCGAAUUGCCAAACCCAUCUCUAACAGAAACAAUAUCAUUUUAGAGAAUUUAUUAUGUUCUCCGACAGACUAUCAAUUCUAUCUUAAAUAAAAAAAACUUUUGGUAACUACCAAAAACUUAUCCCCUCUCCCCUUAAUGCAUGUAUAUGAGGAUAUAUCCCCUCCCGUAUCCAUUUUGUUUUUCUGUUUGACGUGUAGACAUUUCACGAGGAGGCCGCGGCCCGUCGAUGUCCCCAUGACGCUGAUUCACAUGAAUGUAGCCAAGUGCUACACUUGAUGAACCACCAAGGCCACUUCUCUGCAAAGGUGUUCAGUGUUCACACAUUUUAAUCUUGAUGCUAGAACAACUUUUCUUACACAGCAGAAUAGUUUGACCCUAUCGCCUGAAUAAAUGUAAAAUUUCAGUCACCCAAGACGUAGCAUCUCUCUUAUUCCAAACAAUUACGAUACCAACUCUAUUCCAAAGGAAAAAAAGAGAAAAAAAAUGAAAGAUAACAACUUAUAUAGAGAAUGCACAACAGAAGCAGCUUUGAUCAGCGUGUGAUGGAUGGAGAACUAUGCACGCGUAGUUCGCCGUUCGCCACGGAAACAACACGCACUCCUCUGUUCCUGCAACUGCAACACGCACAGUCACAUACACGCACUCACUGUGACACCAGCCGUCGUCCCCUCACCAAUGGCAACGGCGGAGCUCGUGGCACGCACACGCGGGUCACCCGCGGCACUUAUCGUAGUAAAAGCACGGCCGGGUGUAGGACGCGCCCUGGGCAGCGCAGCCGCCGCCGCACGCCUGCCUGUUCUUGUUUAGCGUGUCGUAGUUGAUGUAGCGUUGGUCCGCCGCCAGCAGGCUGCCGAACUCCGGCGCCACCGCCUCCUCCAGGCGGCGCCGCUGCCACUUGCUGAUAGGAGCAGCACCAGUAGCGGCGGUGGCCACCCUUGUCCCACGGCCGUGGAUGGUGACCACCCUGACGCCGCCGCCGUAGUCGUCGCUCAUGGCGGCGGCCGCCGGGCAGGAGAAGGGGGAGAGGAGAAGGGCGAUGGCCGCGAGGAGGAGGACGGCGAGGGGCAGCUUGCUGCCCGGCAUUGUGAACCACCGGCUUGGUUUGCUU